AUGUAACCUAUGUCUGCUAGAACUUUCUUAACUAAUGAAAACUCUUUGGUCUUAGAACCCAAAUCAUAUAAUAAAGUAUUAAGUAAUUGCAGCAUUAUACCACUAACACUUUUGUUGUAAAAUAUUUAUAUAUGUCUAAUAAGGAGCUCCAAGAAUGCAAUGCAUGAAAUCUUCUUAUACUACACUUAUAAUCUUUUAUGAUCUUUCAUGCAUCUCAAUAUAUGAAUUCAAAAUUUUUAUCUCAUUUAGAUGAGCUUAAACAUGAACAGUAUGAACUCCUUAGUAGGCUGGAAUUAAAGCAGCAGGAAGCAGCUAUCUGCUUUGCUAUACUAAAACUCUUUCCCUCUCUCUUUAUUUCACAGCCUGUCUGUCUUAAUUGUUUUUACUAGAAACUAGGAAGAAGAUGUUUCCCUAAUAGAGUCACUUGCCAUCUUUUGUGGACUGCAAAACAACUUGAGCAUCUCUGCUUUCUGUUUGUGCGAGUCAAGCAACUUUUUAACAAGUGCUUUAUUAAAAAAGGUGAAGAGGGUAGAUGAUUAAAAGCAAGAUUGUAAAGACUUCAGAGAGGCUAGUAAAAAUAUAUAAGUAAUAAUCUUAGUGAAACCAGCAGCACAGUGGUUUUUAAUUUUAUUCAUUUAUUUUGAUUUUUGGUUGCUGCUGCUUCUGCUUAUGAGCACACAAACCCUAGCAGCAGCAAAAGCAAAAGGUGCAGGCAGGCAGAGGCCAAAAACAAAAACAGUACUGACAGUACAGAUCUGUAGAAAUAAAUGUAAAUAUUCAGGCGAAGGGACUGAGAGUCUGUUCUGGUAUCAGUAUAAGGUUGUGGGGGCUUUGUGUUUGAACCUUUUUGUAACUUUUCAAAAGCAGCUUUUACUUUGGAAUGUUUUUUUUUUUUUUGGAAUGUGUUUGAACCCAUCUCUACUUCCUUCUUUCUAUUUUUAUUUUUGGAAUGUUUCCCUUGGUUUUAAUAUUCGGGUGUAGGGAUGGGUGUCCGCAUCGGGUUAACCUAUAAGAUAUGAAAGGGUUCAAAUUUAGAACCCAUUCAGUUUUGAAUCCGAACUAAAAUUGGAACAUGAUCGGAUUAGCCCAAAAAUAUACAUAUAAAAAAUAAAAAAACAGACGAAGGCAAAAAAAUAAAAAAUUUCUAAAUUCCUAAUUCCUAAUUCCUCUCUUCUCCUCUUCGCGCUUCACAUCGAGAAAAGCACAACCCCAAGCCCAGGAGCCAGGAUGCUCACAAUCUCACUCACACAAACCCACAUUCUGCCGGCGCCACCGCUGUCAAUUCCAUUCAGAUGCACCGACAUUGUAGCUUCUAGCCGGUCUUGAGCUGUUUGAUUCUAAUCCAGUCACUGCCUCCUUCUUCUUUUGCCGUCGUCAGCCGCACAAGGUGAGGAUGAUAAGGUUAUGUUUACGAUUCCGAAGAUGAAUGGGACAUGGGGAGAUAUUUUUAAUUAAAUGUACGUUUUUGGGAGUAAAUAUGUUUUGAUUGUAUGUUUCUUCUCCGCCUGGCUGAAGAGAAGCGUUUUAGAUUAUGUUUAUCUGCUUAACGUCAAUUUGGUCUUAACUCUCGAAAAGUGCUUCAAAUUCUCGCAUAUAUUAAAUUGAUUUUCUUUUUUAUUCUGCAUUGAUCAAGGCUGGGAUUUGAGAUUAGUUGGUUACCGACGAAUUUUUGGAAAAUUGAAUUGAAAACAAAGCCAAAUUUACGCUCGAAUUUUCAAACCAAACCGAUCUAAAUUGCGAUCUCAAACCAAACCAAACCAAAAUAAAUUUGGUCGAUUUAUUUAGGUUUAUGUUUUGAACAUGAUAGGGUUCAAUUCUCUAACAUAAUUGGGUUGUAGUCCAAAUCAAAAUCUGAACAAUCUGACCCUGAACUUAAUUUACCCACCCGUAUUGGGGUGGAUCCAGAGCCUUCUUUUUAUAUACAAAUUUUUACACAAGAUCUUAUCAAUUAAAUCACAAUAAUUAGCUAAGAUUAUUUUUUGUAGUGAUUAAUUUGUGAAAAAAAUCAAUUAAUAAUGAAUUCCAAAACUAUUAUUAACACUCUUAUUUUUUUCUCCUAUUUACUCUUAACAGAUCUUUAUAUAUUCACUCCCUCUUCUUCCUGUGAUGUUAUCUUCCUAACAUGCAUGACAAAAAAAUAAUGGUGAAUCGUUUUUACAGUUGACGUUUCUAUUUUUCACCCAACGGAUCAGAACCUAAGCUUCAUAUUUCCGCAACUAUCCUUCGUUAACUUGUCGAAAACUAAUUCAUCAAAUAUUGUUAUAAUCGUUGAAAAAGUAAUUUUCAUAUUCAGUAUUGUUUCCCGAAUGUUCAUGUCCAAUAGUGCACUUGGCUAGACUUGGUCUCAUAAUUCAUAACAAUGAUGUUUCAAGCAACGGCCUGCCUUAAUAGUUUUAUCAAUGCCUCAAACUUUAAUGAUCAUUAUCACACAAAUUCUAUAGUAUCAUCUACUAAACGAUUCCGAGAGAACUCCAUCGUGACUAUUCUAUUUCAACGAGAACAGAACCGUUAUAUAUUUGGUCUAAGAACUAUAGUAAUCUGCAUUUACAAGAUAAUCAGAGUAUUAAUAGUAGUUGUGUCCAUUAAAUGACAUUAUUUCUUUACAAAAUAAUCCUUAUCUCUUAUAAUCUUAGGCAUCAAAAUUUGUAUAUUAAAAUAAGGGCCCUGAUCCUACCCCUUUAAUAUUUAUAACAUGAAUCCGGCUUUGUUAUAUUGUAGCAACUUCAUUUAUAAAUAUAAGGGACUUAUUUGGUUCAUGUAACAUAAAAGCGGCCAAAUUCCACGAAGUAUCAUGGUUCAUGUUGCAUCCGGUGCGAUAUCCACGGGGAGGGAGGAAAAAAAUGAAUGUAAAAAUUAGAUUUAUAGUGCGUUUGGGGCAGCUGCGCUGCCACCGCGCAGCUGCCCCAAACAGGUCCUUAAGUUUUUAAGAAAGAUCAUUCAGAUAAUGAUACAAACACUUGGAUUGUCGCAUCCAAACUGAACUUAGUCGCAGUUGAAUUCUUGUCGUAAAUAAUUACGAGUUGACAAAUUUCUAUUAGUCACUGAAUCAACUCCAUAAAAAUAAAUAACCUGAGAGAGUCUCCAGAAUAAAUUCAAAAAUUGACCCGCCAAAAUUUCACUCCCAAAGACCCAUCGUACCUUAACUGUCUAGAGCGAGAAACUAUAACAGUUUCUGGAGAGAGAGAGAGAGUCAAUCCGCACUUAAUAUGACUCUCAUUUGUUUUAGCUCCAAACGGAGCUAAAAAAUUCAAUCGAGCGCAACAUCUAGCAAGCAAACUGUAUAGAGAGAAGCACAACGAUUUAGAGAGAGAGUGCGCCUCUAUAAAUAUCAUUUCGUCAUUCACAAUUUCUCUCUCCUUUCUCUUUUCUUCCGUUCUUUUCAAUUUCUAUCUCUUAGUUCCUCCUUUUUCUUUUCUUCCGUUCUUUUCAAUUUUUAUCUCGCAGUUCUUCUCUUUUUGGUUCGGCAUGGAUGACUUCCAUCUCUCCUUCUUGUUCGGUUUGGGUGACUUGCAUCCAAUGCUGCUUGCGGAGAGUGACCGAAUCGUGUCGGACGAUAUGUACGUACCAAGCGCCAUUUACACUGCGGAUGAGAACGCUGGCCUCAUGAGACACCGUUCGAUGAAGUUGAUGGAUCUGGUAAUAAUUGAUUUGAUUUUUUUAUUAUAAUUAUUUAUUAAUUAUUACGAAUGUAAUUAGGAAUUUAGGAGUGGCCGACGAACCGGACGGUUCGGCUCGACUGUUUGGUUCAUACUAUCAAACCGAAAAUGAAUCUUAUAUAAUAGGUUAGGUGCGAAACCUUAGCACAAUAGCACGCCGUUCUCGUCUCUCUCACGCCGACGAUGACUUGAGUUCGCCGGUCAUUAUGUUUGGUUUAAUUAUUUGUUUUACUAGCAUAUUAUCAUUAUUUUUUAAAUAUUCUUUUUAUUUUGGCAGUUGUUGGAGGAUGUAGGGAUGGCAAUGGAUUGGAUCUGAUUCAAGAUCCACGUGAUCCAAAUCCAAUCGGAUCGGAUUUGGGUCAGUUUAAAAUGAAUUUGGAUCGGAUUUGGAUAUUGAUGUGCGGAUCUAAGACGGAUCUGGAGCAGGUCUGGAUCUAUCCUAAUAUCUAAAUCUAUAUCCAUAUCCACCCAUCUUUUAAUUUAAUUUUAUUUUAAAAGUCUCUUAACAAUUGUAGAAUUAUAAUGAUAAUAAAUUUUAUUCAUAGCAUAUUAGUGGUAUUUACCAUGCAUUUAAACUCUUAAAACUUAAAGGUUAGUUUUGUAAAUUUAAAGGUCAACCAACCCCAAAGCAUGUACAUGCAAUAUUCAAAUUGCAAGCUAAGUAAUACAACUUGGUAAUUUAUUUUACUAUAUUGGCCAAACAAUUUUUAAGGAAUAUAGUUAUUCAUAUAUUUAGUCAAAGAUGACCAUAAUAAAAAUAAUAAAACACUGAAUAUAAAUCAUAUUUAAUUUAUAUGUCUUUAUCUAAUGUUGUAAGAAUGAGGGUGGGUGUGUGUGGAUAUUAGAAUGAUGAAGGAGACAAUAGAAUAUUAGAUUGAUCUUACUCUUGCAAUUACUUUUGAAGAAUAUUUUAUUAUCUUUCUUAUUUGUUGUUUUAGUGUAAAAGUAUAAACUACAAUAUUUAUUAUAUUUUGAGAUAAAUUAUAUAAUUUAUUUGUUAUCAAAACAUUUUAGCCUUCAAUUUUCAUUCUAAAAAUUAUUACUUUUUUAUUGCUGAGUUUUAGAAUUCAUGACGGAUCUAGAGUAUAUUUGGAUUUUAAUUUUUUUUUCGAAUUUGGAGCAGAUAUAGAUAUUUAUUUCUUUUUUGGAUAUGGAUAUGGAGCGAAAAAUAUGAAUUCAUGACGGAUCUGGAGCAGAUACGAAUCUUGCUUUUUAUUAUGGAUCUGGAUCUAGAGCAGAGUAUAUUCAACCCAUAUCUGCCCCAUUGCCAUCCCUAGGAGGAUGUACCUCAUCCUCAGUAUCUUGAGCACGUAGCAUGAACUUCUUUGACCGAUUUAUAUGCUUUAAUAAGGAUUUAAUGGUAUGAUUUUCAAACCUGAUUUAUAUAUAUUUUUCUUGUAAAUCAUCAUUAGUUAUAUGUUAAUUAUAGGAAUAAAUAUUUUAGGCUUUAUUUCUUCACUUCUUCUCUAUUCAUACCAUUGUAUUUUUGUACCUGAUGUAUAUAAUAUUUUAUACUGAUUAUAAUCUAACUAAGUAGUUGUAUUUUCUGUUUAGAAUAAUGGCUAUUUUGAGACUGUUGAUAGCGUGAUGAUUGGAUGUAUCGUUACUGCUGCUAGAAUUAUGGAUCUGAAAUUAUCAACAGCUCAACUAGUGGCGGUAAAACUUAAUCGUUUUUUUUUUUUAAUUUCUUAUGCUUUUACUUUUUAUAUUCUAAUUUGUCGGUUUUUUUUAAUUUUUAUUUCUUACACUUUUACUUUUUAUAUUCUAAUUUCAUUGUACAUUUACUAUUAUAACAGAACAAACAUGGUUUGAAGGAAAAACAGGGAAGUUUAGAUGAUUGGGCUCGUGUCACUGCUGCUGAAUUUGAUCACAUUAUACCAACGGACAAAUUUCUUGAUGCUUUUGUGGAGGAUGUUGUGACUGAACUUAAACUGAAUGUUGAUAUUGCUAAGAUUCUGAAAGCAUUAGCUUAUCGCUAUGCUAUAAUUUCUUCUAAGAAUGGUAUGAUUGGUUAAUAUUUCUCGGAUAAUUAUCUGCCAUUUAAUCAUUAUUUUAUUAAUUCGGUUAUUAAUUCGUUUUCCUACCAGUGAUUGCACUGGUUGGUUUUAGGCCAAGUAUGUUGGCAGCUUCUGCUAUUCUGGUAGCUGUCAAAAUACUGGUAGAGGAGCACUAUUUUUUUGCAAGAGCAAGGAUUUUUAAAAUAUGUGUCAUCCUAGGAUUGAAUGAGGUGAGUUGAUGACCUUGAAAAUAGAUGAAACAUACUUGUUGUCUCCAUAUUCUGAACUUAUUUUAUGAAUUGCAAAUUGAACUAAAGAACUGUGUGCUCCAGAUGUCUCAAUAUUGUUCAUCGGCAAUUAUAUCAUCUCUCUGACAGCGCUUAUGAGAUAUAAAAGCUUUUUAACUACUUCAUAUGCUAUUGAUUGAUAUUAAACUUGUAUCUACAUAGUUUAAAACUUUGUAUAUUGAUUCUUCAACUACUUCAUAUGCUAUUAAUUGAUAUUAAAACUUGUAUCUGCAUAGUUUUCAACUUUGUACAUUAACUAGCUCGGCGCUUGUUGUGAAUGUGCUACAUAUCUUUUCUAUGGGAUGCAUAUUGUUGAUACUAAUAACUUUAUUGUUUAGUUAACACGAUAUUAUGUAAUUUUUUUAUCUUUGGCUGAGAGAACAGGGCAGCAGGAUAGUCAGUUCCCAGUAGUUUACUACUUGUUCUCUCAAAUUUGAGAACAUAUUGGAGAAGUUAUACACUAUUCGUACUUUAGUUAGACUGUUAGAGUGUGCUUUCUUGCUGCAAAGUUAGUACAUAUGAAGUUAUGACCUGUAGGCAUCUUUGUUUUAGCACUCAGUGGCAGUCAUAUUAGGACCAAUAUUGUGGUUUCGACCAGUAUCACUGUCAACCCCUAGCUAUUUAUCUAGACCUUUUAUGCUAGUUCUCGGCUGUAAUGUUUGUGGCCGGUAAAAGUUGUAAAUGUCUUAUUUAAGCUGUAUUGACAUCUUUGGCUCUGCAGUUAAGCUCAAUACUGGGUUUCUAAAUCAUUAACCACUAGAGUGCCAGGGGGGUUUGAAUGUUGUAUAUAUAGCAUUUGGUAGAUGCUAUUAGCCUAAUAUGAUACUUGCCGGUUAGACUUAUUUGCAUGCUCUAGUGAGUUGUGUUUAUGUGAAAAAUAUCUGGAGCAUACCUGUUUUUGAAAUUUCAAGGGAGAAACAGGGACUAAUCAGGAUUUAAUUUUUUCUUUUUUAUUAGCUUUUUACAUGUUGGCUUAGGGUUCACAACGUCUUCACGAAUACCCUUUGGUGAAGAUGAUGUAGAUUGAAUACCCUUUGGUGAAGAUGAUAUAGAUUGAAUCUUUGAAUCUUUUUAAGAUUAUAUUGAUUUCAUUUGAAGUUUAUUAAAGUUACAUAUGUUGCUGUUGGAUGUUGAAUUUGAGAUAUUGUGAGAUUUUGGUUGCCUGAAAAAGAAAAUUUAGCAAAAACCUUGGUGGGAUCUAUGAUUUGAUUAGCAUCCAAACUAGACUUUAUAAUUGUACUACUGAGGUGGAAAUUUUCUAUUAGUCACCUGGCCAACUGCAAUUGAAUUUUAUUCUUUAUAAAUACAAAGUUCAGAAAAUUAAUCGACUAGCUAGAUCUUUUUUUUUUUUGUGAUUUAGAUUUCUCAAAAAAAAAAAGCUUUAAUAUGAGUUUCAAUUGACUAUUUUAUCCUUUAACAUCCCCACAUGUUAUGAUAUAAAUUUGAUAGUUUCCUAAAUUUUAUUAGAUAUCUAUGACAAAGAUAUUUUGUUAUUUUUAAUUGAGGAUUAAAAUUAUACUAAUCAAGUAGUAUGGUUAAAUAAUUUAGAUCAUUGAAUUCUAUAAAGAAUAAAAUUAAACAAAAUUGUUGAAGUUAAAAUAAGUUUUGGAUAUUUUAAUAACUUCACCUAUCAAGGGUAAAAUAAUCAAAUUAAACUUAUGCUAAAAACUUAAAUAACAAAGAAAUAAAUUAUGAACGGAUUAAAAUAAUUAAUUGUACAAAUUUCUGCUUUAAUUACUAAUGUAAGUUUUUUAUAUUUAAUUUUUUUCAAGAAUUAAAGUUACACCAGUGUCGCAUUUUUGACACAUAAAGUAAAAAAACUAAAAAUAACCAUGGACCACUGUCAACGCAGGUAAUCAAAGCCUCACGACUUUGAGCAAAUUUAGUAAAUUAGUGAACGAAAAUGUUAACUACUAAACCGAAGCAAAUGGGAAACUUGUUAUUUACAUAAGAGUAAUGAUACAGCCACAAAUUAUUGUACAAAUUUAUUUUGUACAAACUGACGUGGCACUAUUUCAUUGGUUGAAUGAAAAUAUAAAAUAAUGAAACCAAAUCAUGUGGGCCAAGUGAUAUUUAAUUCAACUAAUCUUAUCAUGCCACAUAAGUUUGUACAAAAUAAGCUUGUUCAAGAAUUUGUGGCUAUAUCAUUACUUUUUACAUAAUAAUGUAAAUCAUACAACUGUCUUGGAAUCGUUCGAUGCAAAUUGAACGAUUGUAAAAAUAUAAAGCAACAUAAUUCUAUUUUUUUACAGUCAUUGGAUUUUCACUUCCAAUUAGUCUCAUAAUCACAAUGUUAAUUUGUACUGUACUUACUAGAGAAUCAGUUAAUUCACUGUUUAGAACGUAUUACACGAUUGAGUUGUCGUCUUUAAUUCUCUUCCGUUUAUCUCUGUUUAAGCGAACUGCUAACUAAUUUAGCGGAGCAAAGUUGAGUCGUCGAAGAAGUAAUCCCACGUAUCUUUUCUUCAACAAUCAUCUCCUGGUUUAUAGGUAGGAAGCGGAUCCGGUGCUCAGCUAAGCUUGUGCUGAGCACUGGAUCAAUGGUCAGCAAUUACCUUAUGUGGACCCCAAGCAAUUGCUGACCAUUGAUCCAAUGCUCAGCACAAGUUCAGCUAAGCACCGGAUCCUAGUCCUUAUAGGUAAGGCUCAACACGCGACUGUGAUUGCCCGGUUGAGGUAAAAACCCAAACUAGGCACAACCCUCCGCAAUGAGGCCAUUUUUGGUAAUUUUAUUUAAAUAUUUGGGCUUAGCGGAACUGGGCCCAGCCUUUUAAAUUUUUACAUUUUAAAUGACGGUCCCUUUAAAUUGAUUGGUCAAGGUCUAGGUUCAUUUUGAUCCAUUGGCGGUCCUAACAUUCAAGCAAAGUUGUUUACUGUUUGUGACGUCUUAUUUGAGUAUUUAAAAUAUUAAUAUCCUAUGUUAAAAGGGAAGUGAGAGAAAUUCUUUUGUGAUUAAUUUGAAAUUAAUUAUAGGCGUGUUUAACAUAUUGUAUUAUAUAAUGUUAUAUUGCAUUAUUUUCAUAAUAUUGUAUGGUAUUAUAUUUUAUUAUAUUAGCAUUAUAUUAUAAUAGUACUGCAUAAUGUUUUGUGUCAUACUGUAUUGUAUUAAUUUUUAAUUAUAUUAUAUUUAGUGUUGCACUGUACUGUGUUAAUUUUUUGUGAUUAAUUAAAAUUAUAUAUUUAGAAAAUAAUAUUCAUUCGUACUUAAAAAAAAUAUAGAAGUCUUAAAUUUUGGAAAUUUAACAAUUUUCUUAGUUUAAAUAUUUAAAAAAAUCAUAAUUCUUCAUAAAGAUCGAAACUUAUAGCCUUAAAUUUUUGGAAGCAUAACAUUUAUUUUUCAAUGUUUUCUAAAUAAAUGACCUGUGAAAAGAUCAAAGUAAAUAAUUUAAUCAAAUAAUCUCUAAAUAACAUAACAACAUAAAUAAAUAGUCAAAACCUACAAAAUUAGUUCAAAAGUCAUUUAGAAUGAUAGAAUAAAAGUUUAGAUAUAGCACAAGAUAAUUAUAAAAUAAUAAAGUGAUACAAUUGUUAUAACAUAUUCAUUAACAAAAUGAAUUGUGCUAAAUAAUCCGAGUAAGAGUUUUGUAGUAUAUGGAAUAAUAUUUUAUAUCAUUAUUUGUAUUAUUAUUAAUUUUAAAUUAAUAUUAUUAGUUAUGUUAAAUUAUUAUUUAUAAAUUUAUAUUAAUAAAUAUAAUGUAAAAAUAAAAAAAUUAAAAUUAUAUAAUAUUAUAUAAAAUUAAAAAGUUAUAUUUAUUUUUUAUUAUCAUUAUAAAGAAAUUUUUUUAAAAAAAGAGGCAGGCUAAUGAGGCCAGUUGCCACACUAGCACCUUAAUGCAGUGCAUAUUUAGUUAAUUUUAGCACCAAGCGUGAGUUUGUAUUAAUUUAGUAUAAAAUAGUGUUUUUAUCCUAUAUUAUAUGGGCUACCAGUACCAGAUGUACCCCAUGUGUUUGCUUUAAUGACAAAUUAGAGUUGAAUAAAUGAAAUUUAUAUGUGAUCUAAAUUGUUUAAGUUGAAUUAAAUUCAAAUUGAAUGUGAAAAAAGUCUAUUUGAUUAUUUUAAUAAAUUCUCUCCACUUCUGUCUUUAUUUUCCUUCAUUGUCUUUUCUUUUGUUUGUUUAAACUAUCAUGUUUGGUGUGCACCUUUUAUAGUAGUCAUCAUCGAAUCUUGAAGAUCAAACCAAUCUUCCAUUGAGAUACGAAAAUUUGUCUUAAGGAAAUGCCUUGACCAAUUCAUGACUGCUGCAUUUUGGAUAGGAUAAGGAGUACCAAUGAAUAGUAAUGUAAACAUUACCAACACUAAGGUAGUGUUUAUUUUUUUUGUCUAAAAUAUAAAUGGAUUUGAAUUUUUCUAAAGUCUGAAUGAGUUUGAUUACGAAAAUAUGAAUGACAUGUUCGUUGUUUUUUUUAAAUAUCUGAAUAUAAGUAGCAUUUUGUUUGUUUUCACAAUAAAAAAAUCUUAAAUUUGGUUAUUUGACAUUUAUGUCCUUGUAAAUUAAAAUAAAAAAGAGGACUAAAAUUUAUAGUUUAGGAAAUAAAUUAUUUUAUAGAGAUAUUUUUAGAAUAUAAUAUUUACUUGUCAUUUAGACAUUUUUCCAUUAAGAUAAAAGUCACAAAAGUUUACUUUUUCUAUUCAGAUGUAAAUGUCUGAAAAUCAGACAUAAAUUCCCAAAAAUAAACGAGUAUAUUUUAGAAAAAAUCUGAAAUUAAUAAAAUUUUAGACUUCAUACAUUUAACAAAUAAUCUCUAAGUAUUCAUGAAAUUUUAUACUUCAUGUUUUAUAUUUUUCUCGGUCUAUUAUUAGUCAACAUUUAUUCAUUAAUGUUGUUUUGGUUGGUUUUGGAGUUUAAAGAAACAAUAUCGGCUUAUAAAUAUGAGUCCUCAUCUUGAAUUCAUCUUUCAUCGGUCUUCAUAUCUAGAAAGUUAAUUUUCAUUUAACUUACCACGGAAUCUGUGUAAAUAUUAAAGUUAUUUCCAAACAAUAAUUCAUUUGUUCAAUGCUUCUAAUUAGGGGUGGGUGUUCGGAUCCAUUUCGGGUUCGGUUCGGUUUGGGUUAACCUUUGCAACCCAAACGGAUUCAAACUAUCAACCCGUUUGGGUUAAAAUUCGGUUCGGGUUGAACGGGUUGAUUUUUUUUUUUUAAAGUUUUGGCUUGUAAAAAUUAAAAAAUAUAUAUGUAUUAAACAAAAACAAAAAAAAUCUUUGACUACAUGUUUUAUAUUUUAUCUUUUAUUAACUUUAAAAAGACUUGUUGAAAUGUUGUUAAGGAUGAUUUUAGUUGAUGUUUGUUGUUAAGGAUGUUUGGAUUUGAGAUUUUUGGAUUUUAAGUGGUUUUUGGUAGGAUUUGUGGAUUAAAUUGUUCCGACCCGUUCUAACUUGAAUUAAUCUAAAUUUUUAGAUUGAAUUGUUCUAACUUAAACUAACUUGAAUUAAUCAUAACCGAAAUUUUAACCCGAAUUAUCGACCCAAUCCGAUCCAAAUUACAAACUUGAACCGAACCAAACCGAAUUUAAUUCGGUUCGGUUCGGUUCGGGUUGGCGUUUUUAACCUGAUUGGGUUCAAUUCUCUAGCCCGAUCGGGUUGAAACCCGAACCGAAACCCAAACAACCUGAACCGAAACCUAAUAUGCCCACCCCUACUUUUAAUCCUAUGUCAGUUUAAUUCAACGAUCACUUAUUGGCUUAUAUAAGUGAAUGAGGGAUGACAAAUAUCCUCUUGGAUAUAGAUAUUGUCCGUUCAUGUAUAAAUUCAUAAUUAUCCAUGAUCAAUAUGUGCAUAUUCAUAUCCAAUUUUAGGAAUUAGAUAUAGGUAUGGAUUUUAUCCACAUAGAUACGGAUAUACCUAUGCCUAUGGACAUUAAAUUUGUUUUUUUUAAAUUAAAAAAUAUAACAUAUUAAUCUAAUAAAAAUUAAUUAAUGAUGUAUUACAUUAAGAAAUUCUUGUUAUUUUUUAUUUAUAUUCCUAAAAUCAUUAAUUUUAAAAGCUAAUUAAAAUUAUUUUGUAUAAAAACAUAAUAAUAAUAAGAAUAUCAGCCGAUGUUACUAUUCCAUUAGCAGUGACUUUGUUAUCAACUAUAGAGUCGAACUUUCAUGAUCUAUGCAGUGGUAAUGAUUUCAUUAGCAAGAAAUAAAUCAAAAUUUAAUUGACAACAUUUUUUUUUCAAAAAUUUGUGAUGGAGGUGCAUGCGCAUAAUGAAGAGCUACAGCUGCCAUAUGGUUGUCGCACGUUUACAACACGUGUGUCUUCGUUCUUUGUGAUUGCUAUUGAUCGCUAACACAGUUGUAUAGAUCAUUAGUUUUCGAUCUAUUUCUGUAGGCGAUCUCAACAUUGGAUGAAGUUUCAUAGCCAGCAAUAGAGUAGCGGUUGUUCUGACGGUGGAACAGUGUAAACAAUGAAUUUUUCUAAAUUUUCAAAAACUAAAAUAUUUUUUAUAAUUUUGUUGUGAGGGUAUAUUUGACAAUAAACAUUUUAGUUGAGGAUAUUUUUAUAUUUAUUUAUUUUUGGUGUUAUUUAUAAUUUUUUGUUUAUUACAUUUUUCAUUUUUAAUUUUCUAAAAUUAAAAGUUUUAAACUUAAUUUUGGUUAAACAGAUUGGAUAAAAAUAAUUAUCCAUACCCAUCCAUAUCUAUCUCGAUAUAAUUUUAAGAUAUCCAAUUUAAAAUUUAAAAGAAUUUUAAACGGAUAUUAUCCAAUCCAAUUGGAUGAAUAUAAUAUGAAUAUCCGUUAUGAGUCGAUCUAAUUGCCAUCCCUAAAUUUUAGAUGGGGCUUAACUCACUUUCAUCGAGGACCCUAAAGAGAACAAAACCAAGCCCAGUGAGAGCUAGACAAUAGAGCAUAUAUGGAAUUUACCCAAACCAAAAUAAAUUUGGUUCGGUUCGUUCUAGGUUUUGUUUUAAACCCAAUUGGUUCAAUUUUCCAACCCGAUCGGGAUGUAAUCUAAAUUAAAACUCAAACAACCUUAAUUGAAACCCAAUUUGCUCACCCAUAUUGCGGUGGAUGGGGAGUCUCUCUUUUUAGUUUUUAUACACAAAAUUUUGACACAAGAUCUUAUCCAUUAGAUCACAAUAAUUGGCUAAGAUUAUUAUUUAUAGGGAUUAGUUUGUGGAAAGAAAAGUCAAUUAAUCAUGAAUUCCACAACCAUUAUUAACACUCUUAUGUUCUCUCCUAUUUAUUCUUAACAAAUCUUUAUAUAUUGGCUUCCUCUUCUUCGGUUCUUCGGGCGAUGUUAUCUACUUAGCGUGCAUGAUUAAAAAAAUAUUGGUGAAUCGUUUUUACGGUUGUCAUUUUUAUAUAUCAGAAAAAUUAAAUAACAUGAUACAAAAGAUAUAUAUAUAUAUAUAUAUAUAUAUAUAUAUAGAGAGAGAGAGAGAAAUGUUCUAGUAAGAAAUUUUAAAGUACCAGAAAGUGUGGGAAACCUUUAAAACCGUAUGGUUUUAAAAGCUUAAAACUGUAAGCCUUUAAAGCUAUGUAGUUUUAAAGCUUUCCCUGACUUUCCCGCACUUUAAAAUCCCUGACCAGAAAACUACUCUCUCUCUCUCUCUCUCUCUAUAUAUAUAUAUAUCCAUUUUUCACCCAAAGGAUCAGGAUCUAAUCUACACAUUUCCACAGUUAUCCUUAAUUAUCUUGUCGAAAACUACUUCAUCAAAUAUUGUUAUAAUCGUUGAAAAAGUAAUUUUCAUAUUCAAUGUUGUUUCCUGAAUGUUCAUGUUCAAUAUUGAACUUGGCUACACUUGGGGUCAUACUUCAUAAUAAUGACUAAUAUGUUUCAAACAAGGGCCUGCCGAAAUGAUUUUAUCAAAUUAAUGAUGCAUGCCGAAAUAGUUUUAUCAAAUUAAUGAUAAUUAUCACACAAAUUCUAUAGUUUCAUCUACUAAACAAUUUUGAGGAAACUCAAUCGUGAUUAUUCUAUUUCAAUGAGAACAUAACAGUAUAUAUUUGAUUUAAGAACCUUAGUAAUCUGCGUUUACAAGAUAAUUGUGGUAUUCAUAAUAGAUUAAUAGUUGUUGUGCCCAUUAGUUUAUUAAUAAUCUUUAUUGUAAUAAUCUUAGGUGGUGUUUUGGUUGGGAGUAGAGAAGGGAGGAAAGGAAAGUAAUUUAGAUUCUAUUUUUAUUUCUAUUGUUUGGUUGUACAAAAUAUAUAAGAAUUUAAUUUCCAUUAGAAUUUAAUAUCCAUCAUAAUUUAGAAUUUAAAUUCCACACAAAAGCCUUUCCGUUUCUUGGCUGCGUGGCUUACUGACAAUUCCUUUAGUGAGUUUGUCUCUAAUGCUUGGCUUAAUAAUUUGCUGUAUUUUCAUGUUGUUGAUAAUUUUGUGAAGAAAGCCAUGGAAUGGAAUAUAGAUCAUUUUGGUAACAUUUUUGUGAGGAAGAGGAGAAUCCUAGCAUGCCUGGGGGGGGGGGGGGGGGGGGGGGGGGGGGGGGGUUUAGAAGGCGUUAGAAACCAACCCUCGACGAAGUCUGGCUAAGUUAGAGCUGAAGCUGAAACAUGAUUUAGAGGAAGUUCUUACACAAGAGGAAAUAUUGUGGCUUCAAAAAUCCCGCAAAGAUUGGCUUAUUUAAGGGGAUAAAAAUACAGCUUAUUUCCACUAAACAAUCUUGGCCAGGCGUAGAAGGAAUCGAAUCACAACCAUUCAGGAUGAUAAUGGAGAAUGGCUUUUCGAGAACGAAAUCAUUAAGCAGCAUGCCACGACUUUCUUCUCAGCUCUUUAUACUAGUGAAACCGUAGUAUUCCUGCCUUAUCCGAUCAGGGGAUGCUUCCCUAAUCUUGAAGUAUCUUUAACUUAAGGACUCACUGCUCCUAUUGAGGAUAAUGAAAUCCGGCAGACUAUUUUUAGCAUGAAGCUCUUAAAGGCCCCUGGCAUGGAUGGCAUACAUGCGAUUUUUUAUCAAUCCCAAUGGCAUAUCAUUGGCCCCUCCUUCUGUAGAUUUAUUCAGAGUACUUUCAGUAGUGGCAGUAUUCAUAAGGAAAUUAACACUAUGCUUUUAGUUCUCAUCCCAAAGACUGAUCAUCCGAUUAAUCUAAAGAUGUAUUGCCCGAUUAGUUUAUGCACAAUGGUCUAUAAAACCAUUUCUAAAAUUGUGGCUAACAGACUGCAGGUAUUAAUGUCGAAUCUUAUUGGCCCUCAGCAGACCAGCUUUGUUCCUGGUCGGCAUGUCAUUGAUAAUAUUGUGAUUGCCCAAGAAGGUAUUCACUUUAUGCGUAAGAAAACGGGGAAGAAAUGUUUCAUAGCGAUUAAGGUGGAUCUUGAAAAGGCGUAUGAUAGACUUAACUGUGAUUUUAUUCAUGAGACGUUACAGGAGACGAGAUUGCCCAACGAUAUGAUUCAGAUAAUUAUGAAAUGCAUUAUUUAUGCUAUAAUGAAAGUUUUAUGGAAUACUAAAGUUUCUGAUGAGUUCGUCCCCUCUAGAGGUAUUCGGCAAGGUGAUCUUCUUUCCCUGUAUAUUUUUUUCUUAUGUAUAGAGCGGCUUAGUCAUGGAAUCAAUAAUGCUGUCACUGCUGGGGAUUGGCAACCGAUUCGUCUUGCUCGUCGUGGCACUCCUCUUACUCACCUAUUUUUUGCUGAUGACCUUUUGUUAUUGGCUGAAGCAAAUAUCAAUCAAACUAAGGUUAUCAAUAUGGUUUUGGAUACUUUCUGCCAGAGCUCAGAGGCUAAGGUAAGCAAGGCUAAAUCUCAGGUUUUCUUUUCUAAAAGCAUAUCGGCUCGGGACAGGAAAAGAAUUGGGGCUGCCCUUGGGUUCUCGGUUACCAAGGAUCUGUGCACGUACCUUGGGAUGCCGCUAUUAUAUACUCGAGUCUCGCAGCAUACUUAUCAUAACAUUAUUAAUAAGGUUGAAAGGUGUCUAUCAGGAUGGCAUGCAUCUCUCUUGUCUUUAGCAGGUAUAAUUACUCUUGCUCAGACAGUUUUAUAUGCUAUUCCGGUUUACGCAAUGCAAUCAACGAGUCUCCCCACUGGAGUUAAACUAAAGAUUGAUAAAGCUUGUAGGAAAUUCAUAUGGAGUGGAAAUUCUAAUCAUCCGCGAAUGCGUAUGGCUAGUUGGGAUAGAUUGUGCGAACCGAAGGAUUAUGGAGGUUUAGGUCUUAAGGACCUAAAUGUGAUGAACAAAGCUCUUUUAAUGAAGCUCAGUUGGGGAGUCAUCUCAGAUAAGGAUAGUUUAUGGGUUCGAGUUUUGUGUACCAAAUAUGGGGUUAAUAUUUCCAACACUCCUCUCUCUUUGCCCACGCGCUAUGGAUCUCAUUUGUGGAAAGCUAUUGGUAAGCGAUUGACACUAAAGUGUACAUUUAAUAAGGAUAAAAUUAUUAGUUUUUCACUUAUUGUGUCAAUUAAUGUGCUCAUUAUUUCUAAAUUAUUUUAAUUCUCCCCAAAUAUAUUUUAUGUGAAAUUAAUUCGCAAUAUGUUAAUUUAUUUCUUGUAAAUAUUUUUCAGGAAUAAAGAUGAAAUUGGAGUUGAAAGCAGAAACAAAGAAGGACAGUUGGAGCAAUUUAGAAUUCAUCAAUCGAGGAGAUGUUAUUAAAAAAAGAAAAAAAAGAAAAAAAGAUGAUUCCCUUGCCUAUAAAAGGUAAGGGGAUGCAAGCGAAUGAGGAAGCCAUAAGCUAGGGAGCCGAGUUUUGAGAGAGGGUGAUAGCCAAGGGUGUAGCUGAAGAAUUUCUUUCUUUCUUUGUUUCUUUUCUUUUCUUGUUUCUAUUUGUAUCAAUUUUCUUUGUAACAUAUUUCAAAAGUGUAUCAAAUAAAAGGAGUGUUGUGUUUUCUUUCAAUAUGAGUGGUUAAUUUUAUUGAGCUGAGGUAAAUGGUGAGCUCAAUGUUUUAAACUAUUAAAUUUAUUAUUUUCUCAAAUAAGUUUUUGAGUUUAUUUUAUUCUUUUCUAUUUAUUUUUAUGUCAUGUUAAUUUAUAGAUUUUCUUGGAUCUGUAUGGAAUUUUAACAUAAUGUCGACACAUUAAUAUAAUGUGGCACAUUAGGUACUUUAUUCCAUAUUUAUCCAUACACAUAGAAUUAAAUAAUAUAAUAAUUAAUUGGUAAAAGUGAGGUAAAAUAUAAAUGAUGUUAGCCUAAAGGGCUACACAUAAUGUAAUUUUGAUGAUAACAAACAUGUGUCUUAAGUAAAAAUAAUAAAUAUUGUAUUUCACAUCUUCACUAGUUUUUUAAGGAUAAUAUUUAUGCAAGUGAAUCAAGUGAAAUCAAGCUCAAGACACUCAACGGACAACGGCGAAAUCAAGAAUAAAAUUUAGAGCUCAACGGAUAUAUUAGUGCGAUAAAUUCUUGUAAAGCCGGUAUGAUUUAAUUGAUGCAUGAUUUAGCAUUUGAGAAGCUCAAGAGAUUAAUUUAAUUAAUUAUUUUUUAUAAACUAAAAGGUUUUAUUUUUAUAAGAUAAAGUACCUUGUGGUUUUGAGUAAUUUGGACUUAAAUGUAAAGUUUUGAAAUCUUUGAUUUUAAUAAGUAUUAUUAUUAAAUUUCGGAGUUGGACGUUUUUACAAACAUUUGAAAUGUUUUGGGCCAUACUAUAAUUUAUUAAUAUUUUGGACUAAAGUGAAAGGUUUUGAGAACUUUGAAAAAUAUGGGUAUUAUGUUGAAAAGGACUUUUUUGCGAAAUAAUAAUAUCUUUAGGGCCAUAUCAUAAUUUCAAAAAAUUUUAGAAAGACAAUUAUUUUUAGGAAAUUCUGAAAUUGAACCUAUUUAUAAAGUUUUAUGACAAUUUGGGCCAUAAUAUAAUUAUAAAACGUUUAAGGCCAAAAGUGUAAUUUUAGUGAACAGUAUUACUGUAGCAAAAUUAAAAAAUAACGGUAAUAUCACUGUUCAUGAGCAGCUAGGUGGAUAAAUCAAGCGGCUAACUGCUUGGGCGCGAGAAUUUGCCUAUAACGGCUAGUUUUCGGGCUUUAACUAUAAAAACUCAACUCCAACUUCAUUUUAAGUACUAAUACAAGGAAAAACAAGAUCAUAUAACAUAUAUUGAGCUUGCAUUUCGUAAAUCAUCAUUUGUUGAAUCAUCAUUGAGCUAUAAUUUGUUUAUCCACUCUUAAAGAGAGUUUCAUUGUUGUGAUUUUCAUUUCUCAUCAAAUUGUGAGUGUACAAGUGUGAAAAACAUUUGGGGUGAAGAGAUUAGGGAUAUAAUCUCUUGUUGUAAAGGUCCAUUGACACCUUGGAAGUCAAUUGUAAACAUUUGAAACCUUGGGAGGCUUGGAUAGUGAAAUCCUCAAGCCGGGUGAGCUUGGAGGCGUGGACGUAGGCGGGGAUAGCCGAACCACGUAAAAAUUCUUGUGUUUGUUUUCUCUUCCCUUACUCUUUUAAUAUUGUGCUUGAUUGAAUUUAUUGUUUUUGAUUUGAUUAAGGCUAUAGAUUAAAUUGUUGUGCGAAUUGUAUUGCAUAAAUUUUAAAAACCCAAUUCACCCCCCUCUUGGGUUGCAUAACUUGCAUUUCAAAUGAGAGAGUAUCAAAAUUAUAGUUUGAAUACUGAGACUAGGGGUAGGCAAAAAUUGGAUUCGGGUCGGGUUCGGGUCAACCCGAUCGGGUUUUGGGUUAUUCGGGUUUGGCAAAUAUUGAUCCGAAUGCAACCCUAAUUUACAACCCAACCCAAUCCGAUCCAUUAUAUAUUCAGAUCGGUUUGGAUCGGGUCAAAAAUCAGGUUGAAUUCGGGUAGAAUCGGUUCGGAUAAAAAACGGAUUGGAUAGGGUUCGGGUUAGUUCGGGUCCAAACAAGUUAAUUCGGGUCGGUUGAAAGCGGGUUAAUUCAAAACAUAUAUACCAAUAUACCAUGAAAGCUUCGAAAUUCAAAACACAAAAGGGAGAAAUUCGAGUCGGGUUGGAGGCUUGGGCAUUGGAGCAGCAGAUCGGUGGCCAUGGCAGCAAAUCACGGAUGGUUUCGGCAAUAGAUUAGUAGACGCGCAACAACAGCUCGUAGAUGGCUAGACGCGCAACAGUAGAUUGCGGGGAAGGAGAAAUGGUCGGACACAACACUACGGCAGCAGAUCGCGGAGGCAGCAGUAGAUGGCCGAAUGCAACACGGUAGUAGCGUGACAGCAGCACGGCAACAGCAGAUCACGGAUGCAGCAACAGAUGGCCGGACUCACAGAAUGGCAACAACAAAUCGCGGCAGGGAGAGAGUGUUUUCUUGCUUCUUGAGGGGUGGAUUAGGUGUUGUGUCUUUUUUUUUUUCCUAAAGAGGAAGAGAAGGUGCUCUGGAUAAUUAAAAAUGGACUAGAGAAUUUUUGCUCAUGUUAAUCUCAGAUCUGAGAUUAACGAGAUUACUUUCACUCAUCAUCAUCGCACUUUCUCUUCUAAAGAAGUAUAAAAUAAAAUAAAAAUCACAUUACGAAAACAAAAAAAAGAGAAAUUUUGAGAAAAAGCAAAUAUGCAGACGACUGAAUUGGGGUUUGUGUUGUGUUGUGAGUCUUGUGUUUGUGUAACUCCCUGAAUAUAUUAUUUAUGUGUGAUUGACUGAGUGUGGUGUGUGUGUGUUUAGCCACUUAGGUUUAGUUUUUUCUUUAAGCAACUCGAUCGGGUUUUUGGAUUGGAUCGGUUUUACCUGACCCGAUCGGGUUUGCAAGAUUUCAUCCAAUCGGGUUCUAUUCACAAUCCGAUCCAAUCCGAACCUGAAAUUUUUCGGAUCAGGUCGGGCCGGGUAUUUUGUCCACCCCUAACUGAGAGUGGAUCCCGUAACCUUAGCAUAUUUUUAAAUUGUUUUCAAAUAAUUUAUUUUCCCAACAAUUAAUUUUCUUUGUUUAAUAAAUUGACAACUACAUUUUAAAAUUCUCUAUGGUUCGACCCCGGACUCACCGGGUUAUAUUAAAACUAGACACUCUUAUACUUGGGAGUAAUAUACUUUUAAGUCGUGUCAAAUUUUUAGCACCGCUGCCGGGGAGUUUUCUAAAAUUGGUGUUAGUUUGUCUUUACUUUAUUUUUAUUUUAUUUUAAUUUUUUUUGUCGUUACUAUCUUUCCGUGAUUCUAUUCUCUUUUUAAAAAACUUCAGUUAGCACCCCUCCUCUUUUCAAACUUUAACAUUAUUCAUAAAUUUUUUAGAAACUUUAUUUUAGCCCAGAAAAUCUUUACAAAUUAGUCCCCAAAUCGAAUUUAUUUCUUUAAAUUUUUGUAAUUUACUUCCCGCAUUUAUUUUAAAUGGUCGGUUCUACCGCCUGACUGUUAUUUAAAUUUUGUUAAUUUAUGUAUUUUUGUUUAUAUGGUCGGUUCUACUGCCUAGCAUUUUCGUUUCAGUUUAUUUAUUCUUGUACAUUAAUUUAUUUAAUUUUAUGUUUUAUUAUAUGGCUGGUUUUAAAAUACCGCCUAAACUGUUUCUUUUAAUUUCUUUGUCUAUGGCUGGUUUCACCGCCUAAUUUAUUUAUUUAUUAAUUAAUUUUCAGUUUAUUUAUUUUCAUUUCGCAUUUUUUAUUUAAUUUCCAGUUUAUUUUUAUUUCUGCAAUUUUCAUUCAACCUUUUAUGCAUCAUUGGUUUAGCAUACAUCAUUAGCAUUGCAUGUGUCGUUGGUCUUGUACAAUAGUGGCAGAUUAAUUAGAAGAUCACCUUCAUCACCCUUAGAUAUGGCUAACAUAGGAGCUGAAAAUUUUUCGGAGCACGAAAAUGACCAAACCUUACAAAAUCUUUAUGAACAGCCUAGUGUUGUACAAAUUCUAUUUAACUCGCAAGUGCACGAAUCUAUUGUAGAAUAGAUCAAUGGUGACGAGUGUCGAUUCCACGAGAAGGUGGAUUUUAAUUAUAUGUAGAAUUAAUUUUCUAUGAGGGUGGUUGGAUUUGUGGUGAAAGCGAUUUAGACUAUCUUAGAAUUUAAAUUGGAAUGGCGGAAUUAAAUUAAAGUGAAAACUAUUAUAAUUGAAGCGCUUGGGUAUCUAGAUCCGCAUCAACGUGCACCAUGGGCUAAAUAUUCUUUAUUAGUGUCAAUUAAAUCAUGAGGGGGGAAUCCACACCUCAUGAACCACACUGUAAUCAAUAUGGUGCUAAGGGCUUAUCGUGCCAAAUAAUAAUAACCUUAUACUGGAGAGCCAAUGAAACCAGGGCGGGAUCUAGACAAGAUUUUUAUUAUUUGUCGACGAAAAGUCAAAAACAUCCACAAAAAUUAGAGGGGAAGAGAAAAUAAAUUUAACAAAUAAAACCCAUGACACAUGUUGAGACUUCACCUUCAACUCAAGCUUGAAAGAAAAUUAGCUACUCAUAAUUGAACUAAGGGCAAAAUAGAAAUUUAUUAAAAUACGUAGAAAAUACAAGAUGGAGAAAGAAUUACAGAAAAUGGAGCCCAAAAAUGGAUUCAGAGAUGUCAAAUUAGGGGGGAGACCCCUUUUUCAUAGAUACAUUGAGUAAAUCAUAGCCAUCGGAUUAAAAAUUUGGACGCUCAGGAUUGCACCAAGUCAUCAAUCAACAGUACGCGAUUUGACCAUGCGGUUUCAACAGUGACACGGUUUGACCACGUGAUUUGAACAGUGAACCGACUUGAACAAUGACGCAAUUUGGUCACGCGGUUUGAACAGUCAACCGGCUUGAACAAUGACAUUUUUCCUUUUAUACUCCUCCUAAGGUUUUCGACUGUCUUGAGUUCAAAAGUGAUGUCUGUUUUACUGUCUGAACUCUCGUUCAUUGUAAAAUGACCAUGAUGCCCCUAAAAUACAUAAAAUACUUAAUUAAAAUAAAGAACAAAUAAUUAAAUCAGAAGAAGCUUAUAUACAUAAAAGUAAAUGUGUUAAUAAAAUUUGAAGUGUAAAAUGAUGAUUUUCUCCUUUAUAAAUAUACAUUUUCUAGCACUCAAUACACCCCCCAACCAGCUUAUUGCUAGUCUCUAACAAAUAAAGCGAAAACAAAAUUCAAAUAAAAAAUAAUUUUUUUUUUAACAAUCAUGUUUAUUCAAUCAGACUAAUGAUAGUAAUUAAAUAAAAGUAUAAGCAUUAUCUCCAAUCUAAAGAAACAUUACAGCCACAUCAACCAUCCACAUAAAUUAGCCCAGUAGACUUUGUCACAGCUACUUUCAAGAAUGACAUAUUAAACCUCAAAAUCUCACUGGAAAUAGUGACACUCUCAUAAAGAAAUUAAACCCAAUAAUAAUAGUCACUCUAAUUAAUGAUAAUUGUGAGAAAAUAAUAAAAAAUUGAUAUCACACGCUCUCACCAAGAUGAAAGAAAUAUACUCUCAGCUUAGAAAUAAUACGAUCUCAAGUCAAAUAAAAAUGCUAGUCAACCCAAUUUAUUUAAUUUAUUAAAUUUUUGAAGCAAUUUUUUUUUAGAGGGUUGACUCAAAAGAAAUCUAGAAAUCGUAUAUAAAAUAAUAAAAUGUUAAGAUGUAUGAAGAAUGGACAAAAGGGUUACGCUCCAAGAAAAAUGAUAGGCUCAAAAACUCACUCGGUAUUUAUUAUGACAUGUUCAUUCAUUCAAGCAACUCAUAUUUGUCUCCGACAUCAACAUGUAGAGUAGCAAAUAUGGCGUAACAUCACUUAAGAUCAAAGAUAAUACAAAUACUAAAAUUUGAAAUUCAUCAUGUCAUCCAAUGUUAAAACAAAUCACAUAAUUUUUUUUUUCAAACAACAUUCUACCCCCUAACCUAUUCUAAACAUGAAAGGAAAAUAUGCAUGCAGAAAGAUGAAAAUGAUUCAGAAAAAUUAAUUAGAAAAGUUACACUUAAAAUGAUAGAAAAAGAAAAUGGUUUUGUUUUUUUUUUAACUAAAAAGACGUGUUUCUAGAGUCACUGCACUCCAUAUUCAACCAUCUUCGACUAAAAAAUUUGAAAGUGUAUAGAGAAAUUAGAAAGAAGAAGUUAGAAGGAAAAAAAAUAAUUGUCAAAGCUUAAUAAAGAAAAAGAAAAUGUCUGGAAUUUUUUUAUUUUUUUUAUUUUUUUAUUUUUUUAUUUUUUAUUCAAACGAAGAAGAUGCAUUUCUAGAGUAACUACACUCCAUAUUCAGCCAUCUUCAACACAAAAAGUUAGCUACGGUUAGUCUCUACAACAAAAAAUUAGUAAAAACUUAACCAAGAUUCCACAAUUGUCGACUAUUCCUUUCCCCCACCCAGAACGAAACAUUGUCCUCAAUGUUUUAAAGGAAAGAAGUAGAGUUUAGAAGACAUUACCUGGGUGGUGUAACACAGAAGAAAAUAUUUACAAGCGGAGAGUUAAAUCUAAUUUGUACUUCUUAUUGUGGCUACUAUUACUAUCAUUAUUUGGACACUCCAACACCAAGGUCCUGGGAUCUGGCUCUGGUCGAUAAGCUUGUAACAGAUCAAGUAGCUCAUUAGUAGUAUGAGCAUAAAUAAAAAAAAAUUUCGCUUGAAGGAAUGAAAUAGUUUUUUAUUGUAUGGUUAAGAAAUGCGAUAAAGCCAUCAUAAAAAUUAUUGACAUUUAACAAACCGAUGGGUUUCUGAUGAAUGUGCAGAUGGGCCCAAGAUGCUAAUAUGAUAAGUGCCUCUAGAGUUGCAAGAUCUCCUGGUAAGAAAAUAAAAGCAUCAGCAUGAUUAAGCAUUUCAGUUAUUCUUUCUUGCAUACCUAAGACGACUAACUCUUCUCCAGUCGGUGAGUCAGACAAACUACCCAAAGGUUUUAGGGCCCUUGGGAUGAUGCCUAACACUUGGCUCCCUCUGACAAAAGCAGCUUCUGAGACCAAUUUGAUAACCCUCGGUUACCUCCUCCAUACACCAAGUGUAAUUUUCUCUCUGCUAUACUUCGACCAAGAUCUAUGACUGCCUCAAUGAACUCUUUAUGUUUGCCAUAGUUAAAUCCAGAAAUCACACAAAUGUUCUUGAAUUGUUUAUUGGGAGUAGCUGCCAUUGAGAUACUUCUCAAAAAUAAUUUGUGAGUGCUUAACAAAAAGUCAUAUUUAAAAAUCUUGGUGACAGAGGGUCACAACUGUGUAUGAGGUAACAUGUCAGUGCGUAAAGCACAUAGCUCGCGAGUAAAAAAGGAAACAGUAAAAAGAAAAAGAAACAAUGACAAAAUAAAAUUAUUAAAGACAAUAAUGCAAAUGAUAAAACAACAGUGAAAUAAAAUAACAGUGAAGUAAAAGGAUAUUUACAGGUAGUUGCGACUGUGGCUCACAUCUUCCUCUGGUUUUAUCAAUUAUUUUUUCUAUUAAAUCCAUGUCAACAAUUUCAUCAUCUGCAUUGUAAGGUUGUUUGGAAAUGUUGAAAAUGUUUAGCUCCAUAGUCAUAUUGCCAAAUGACAACUGCAUAUUUCCAAUUCUGCAUUGAAUAUGAGCAUUGACAGUUGCCCAGAAAGGUCGGCCGAGGAUAAUGGGGAUGUGCUUCCUUAAAUCCUGGAUUGGUUGAGUGUCAAUUACAAUGAAAUCAACGGGAAAAUAAAACUUGUCUACUUGGACAAGCAUGUCCUCCACAAUACCACGAGGUAUUUUCGUGGAUCGAUCUGCAAGCCGUAACACCACUGGAGUUGGGUAUAAUUCUCCAAGUCCAAGUUUCACAAUUACUGAAUAAGGCAACAAAUUUACACUAGCUCCUAAAUCCAACAAAGCAUUCUCAAUUGUGUGGUUCCCUAUACUACAUGAGAUAAUGGGGGAGCAUGGGUCUUUGCAUUUUAGAGGAAUUUUGUGUUGGAGUAUAGAACUAACGUUUUCUGUUAAAAAUGCAAUCUUUUGAACUUGAAUGUUUCUCUUUUUAGUAAAAAUGUCUUUAAGAAACUUGGCAUAGAUGAAACUUGUUUUAUAGGAUCAUGUAAAGAGAUGUUAACACUUACCUGUUUGAAGAUUUUAAGAAUCUCACCUGUGGAUUUUCCCUUCUUUCCUUUAGCUAACCUAUAAGGAAAUGGAGCUUUAGGAACGUAAUCUCGUGGGUUGGUUUCUUCUUUCUCCUUUAAUGGUGAGUCCUCAACGUUCACAGGUACAAUUUGACUCGCUUUGGUCACCGGUAUCUCCACUUUGUUGUCGACUUCUUUCCCUUUUCGCAAGGUCAUGACGGCUUUGACCUCUCCAUGCUGUUAUAGUGAACUAGUACUUACUUCAUGCACUCUUUUAGGAUUGGACACUGUUUGACUUGGAAAUUUACUUUUCUCAACAGUCAUUGCCAAGGUCUGAACUGAAGAAGCAAGUUGUCCCACCAUCUUCUCGAGGCUUGAAACUGAUUGGGCUUGUAAAUUGAAACCUGCUCUCAUCUUAUUUCGUAGUUCAUCAAUGGUGCGGUUCUGUUGCUUAAUCGUGGAGUGAGUAACAUUCUUGAAAUUCUGGAAUGAAUCCUCCCAUGGUUUGGGUUGAGAGUAAUUUGGGUGUUGAUUAUAUAGUCUAAAUGGUGGCUGAGAGGCUUGAGGAAGUUGAGGAAUUGAUUGCACCGGUGGAGCUGGAGCUGCUGGUCCAUUCUAUUGGAAUCCUUGAGACCAUGAAAAAUUAGGGUGGUCUCUUUAUCAAGGGUUAUAUGUGUUGGAGUAUGAAUUGUAACUAGAUGGUUAUCUCAUUACACUUAUGGCAUUGGCUUGAUCUGAGUAUGAGUCAUGUUCGUGUGGCUCUGUUGAUUUAGCAGUUGAUAACGAUGCUAUUUGUCGAGAGAGACCUUCAACUAUUUCUUUGACUUCUUUAAUUCCCGAACUUAACUCGCCAAUGUGAAACUCAUUCACUCCUUUAAUUCUUUUAGUAUUCCUGAGUGAUCGACUCCGUUGUUGGGAAUUAUCCGCUUAUUGCUGGAAGAAUUCCCAAAUCUCUUAUGCACUUUUUGACAAUAGCUCUCCUCCGCUUGUUGCCAUUAGUCAUUCUUGUACAUGUGGCAAUAAUCCCUCCAAAAAGUAUUGGCAUUGGUGUCAUUUCUCGUACCCAUGAUGUGGACACUUCAAAAGUAGUCCAUUGAAUCGCUCCCAUAUUUCGAAAAACUGCUCGUCUUCUCUCUGGGUAAACUCUGAAAUUUUCCUACGAAUAGCAUUAGUUUUAUGCACUGGAAAAUAUUUAUUCAAAAAUUUUGUUACCAUUUGUUCUCAUAAUGUAAUGCUAUUAGCAGGCAAUGUAUUGAAUUAUGAACAAGCUCUAUCUUUUAAAGAAAAUGAGAAUAAUCUAAAUUUAACAUCAUCAUCUGAAAAAUUCUCAUAUUUAAAGGUUCGACAAAAAACAUGAAAAUCAUUCAAAUGAUUAUAUGGGUCCUCAUUUUCUAGGUCAUAAAAUGUUGGGAGACAAUUUAGCACACUAUGUUUUAACUCAAAACUCCUAGCAGCUACAUUUGGGUAUCUUAUGCAUGAUGUGCUCAAAUUAGCUAAGGGACUAAAGUAGUCCUUAAAUGGCCUCUCUUGUGGUGCUUGUUGUUGUUGCAAAUCCAUUUCAUUUUUAUCUUUAAUUACAACGUGUUUGUGUGUGCGAAGUAUUUUUUUCAAGUUCAAGGUUUACAGGUUCAAGAUUAGGUAAUAAUGACUUUCGACCAUGCAUGCAAAGAACACAAAAAAUGGGAACAAAAUAAAUAAAAAUAAAGAAUAAGGAGAAAUUAUGAUAUUAACCUUAUCACGCUGUUACAACCUUUCUAUAAAAACUUACUAAGAAAAAUAUGUGAAAUAAAUCAACUAAAAUUAAAAUAAAUUAAUAAGAUAAUGAGAAAUUGUAAAAAAUAAUAACUUGAAAAUUAAAUUACAAAAAUUUAAAAAAGAGGAAAAGAAAAGAAAUUAUAACCUCAGAAUGCAGAUUCACUCUUUUUUUAAAAAAAUAAGAAAAAAAAUUACAAGAAAAUAACUAAAAGAAAUUAUUCACAAAAAUUAAUUUUAUGAAUUAAAAUAACUUACCUCCCCGGCAACGGCGCCAAAAACUUGUUGUGCAAAUUUUAUUGAACUCACGAGUGCACGAAUCUAUUGUAGAAUAGAUCAAUGGUGACGAGUAUCGAUCCCAUGAGAAGGUGGAUUUUAAUUAUAUGUAGAAUUAAUUUUCUAUGAGGGUGGUUGGAUCUGUGGUGAAAGUGAUUUAGACUAUCUUAGAAUUUAAAUUGGAAUGACAGAAUUAAAUUAAAGUAGAAACUAUUAUAAUUGAAACGCUUGGAUAUCUGGAUCCGCAUCAACAUGUACCAUGGCCUAAAUAUUCUUUAUUAGUAUCAAUUAAAUCAUGAGGGGGAAAUCCACACCUCAUGAACCACACUAUAAUCAAUAUGGUGCUAAGGGCUUAUCGUGCCAAAUAAUAAUAACCUUGUACUAGGGAGCCGGUGAAACCAGGGUGGUAUCUAGACAAGAUUAUUAUUAUUUGUCGACGAAAAGUAAAAAACAUCCACAAAAAUUAAAGGGAAAAAGAAAUUAAAUUUACCAAAUAAAGCCCAUGACACAUGUUGAGACUUCACCUUCAACCCAAGCUUGAAAGAAAAUUAGCUACUCAUAAUUGAACUAGGGGUAAAAUGAGAAUUUAUUAAAAUACAUAGAAAAUAUAAGAUGGAGAAGGAAUUACAGAAAAUGGAGCCCAAAAAUGGAUUCAGAGAUGUCAAAUUAUGGGGGAGGCCCCCUUUUUAUAGAUACAUUGAGUAAAUCAUGGCCAUCGGAUUAAAAACAGUUUGGAUGCUCAGGAUUGCGCCACGUCAUCAGUCAACAGUAUGUGGUUUGACCACGCGGUUUGAACAGUGACACGGUUUGAUCAUGCGGUUUGAAUAGUCUACCGGCUUGAACAAUGACUGUCUUGAGUUCAAAAGUUAUGUUCGUUUUCCUGUCUAAACUCUUGUUCAUUGUAAAAUGACCAUGAUACCCCUAAAAUACAUAAAAUACUUAAUUAAAAUAAAACACACAUAAUUAAAUCAAAAGAAACUUAAAUACAUAAAAGUAAGGGUGUUAGUAAAACUUAAAGUGUAAAAUGACGAUUUAUCCUUUAUAAAUAUAUAUUUUCUAACACUCAACACCUAGGACCCUUAGAGACUUCAUGCAUCCUACUAGAACAGGGUCACCAUCAUGCAUAGUUUUCCCUCUUGAUGCAUCACAUUUUUAUUUCAAACCUGGUAUCAUUCAACUUCUUCAUACUUUUCAUGAUUUUGAGUCUAAAAAUCCAUAUUUGCAUUUAAGGGAAUUUGAGGAAGUCUGUAACACAUGUACUGAUCAAAAUUGUAGCAUGAAUAUAAUCAGGCUUAAGUUUUUUUCCUUUCUCAAUAAAGGAUAAAGCUAAAACUUGGCUACAAAAUCUUGGGUCAGGAUCCAUCAGAACUUGGGGCGAAAUGGAAGUAUAAUUUUUGAAAAAAUUCUUCCCACCCCACAGAACAAAUUCUUUCAAAAGACAAAUCACCACUUUCUCUUAAAAACCAGGAGAAACCCUCUACCAAUGUUGGGAUAGGUUUAAAGAACUACUUAACAUUUGCCCACACUACGGUUUUGAAACAUGGAUAUUAGUGUCUUAUUUCUACGAGGGAUUAAUAUCCCAAGGUAAACAAGUCGUUGAAAUGAUGUGUAAUGGUGAGUUUAGGGAUAAAAGUCCUAAAAAUGCAUUAGACUAUCUUGACUAUAUAGCAGAGAAUGCACAACACUGGGAUACAGUUGGUUCUUAUGAGUCAUCAAGUAAACCCCACUCAUCUCCAUCUGGUGGAGGCAUGCAUAACCUUAGGGAAGACUAUGAUUUUCAAGCCAAAUUUGCAUCCUUAGCUACAAAAGUCGAAGCAUUAGAGUCGAAAAUGAAUGAUCAUGUAAAUUCUGUUCAAAUUAUUUCAUGUUAUGUUUGCGAUUUUACUGACCAUUCUACGCAGGACUGUCCAACUUUGCCGACUCUGAGAGAAAGUUUACGUGAACAAGUAAAUGUCGUUGAUAAUUUCAAAAGGGCAAGUCCAAAUCCAUACUCCCAAACUUACAACUCUAGUUGGAGAAACCACCCAAAUUUCAAUUGGAGAAAUGACAAUCAUGCACAACCUUCACACUCAGUUCCUCCACGUCAAAAUUUUCAAAACCUCCAUGGUUACCCACCAUAUGUCCCACCACUAAGAAAAACUCUAGGAGACACAUUGCAUUAAAUUAUUGAAAAAUAAAAGUCUAUCAAUAACCAAACGAUGCAAACCUUAAUCAAUUUGACAGAAACUAUCUCCAAACUUACAUUUGCUCUAACCAUACAUGAAAAAGGAAAGUUUCCUACUCAAUCUGAACCAAACCCCAAGAGUAAACAAAAUCCUCAAAUGGGAAAUUCAGGAAACCAAAAUAUGAGUCACGUCAAAUCGCUUAUAACCAUUCGUGGUGGUAAAGUGGUCAAAAAACACAUUGCAGAUCCUCGUAAAACUAGUAAAGAUUCAAUUUCAGAAAAUAGGGAAGAGUCUGUUGAUCUUUUAACCCAUGAAGAAAUAACCAACUCUCCUCAUGUACCCCCAUUUCCUCAAGCACUAAUCAAGCCAAAAAAAUCAAACCACAGUCUAGAAAUUUAUGAAGUUUUUAAACAAAUGAAGGUCAACAUUCCUUUGCUGGACGCCAUUAAACAAAUACUUUCUUAUGCUAAAUUUCUGAAAGAUCUGUGCACGGUGAAAAGGAAACAUAAAGUGCAAAAGAAAACUUUUCUGGCAGAACAGGUAAGUUUCAUUCUCUCAACCAUUAGUAUUUUGAAAUACAAGGAUUUUAGUUGUCCAACUAUUUCUUGCACUAUUGGGGAUUAUAAAAUUGGGCAUGCUUUACUUGAGUGUUAAUUUGCUUCUUUACUCAGUGUACCAACUACUCAAUCUCGAUGAGUUAAAACCAACUUCUACCACUCUUUUACUUGCUACCACAAUAUUAUCCUUUUAUAAUAAUUUUUUAUUUGGACAUUAAUAAAAAGAAAAUAAUUAUAUUACCAAUUUAACCCUAAAAAAAAUAAAAAUUAAAUUAAUUUUUAAUUGUCAAAAAUUGUAUGCAAACUACCAAGUGUGCAAAUGAUGUUUGCAAAAAAAUUAAUAUAAUUUUUUAUUUUUAGGAUUAAAUUAGUAAUUUAAUUAUUUUCUUUUUAUUAAUGUCCAAAAAAAUUAUUAUAAAAGGGUAAUAUUGUAAAAGUAAGCCAAAGGAAAUAAAAAGUAACGGUAGGAGUAUCAAUACUUUAACGACAUGAAUGUUUCGAGGUAUUUUUAAAAAUAAAGGGACUAAAUGUACACUAAUCUUAAAAUACAGGGACUAAAUGAGCUUUUACCCAAAUAACAAAUAUCAAAAUAUUUAUAAUAUUUAACUUUUAGGCUUAAUUAACUAAUUAAAGUCUUAAAUUUUUAUUUAAGACAUUAAAAUGGCCGGGUAGAUUCUAUUAGCCCAAAAAUUUUAUUUUAUUAAAAAUAUUAAUUAAGUAUCUACAUUUAUUUCAUUUAUUUAUUGUCGAUAUAAAAGUAAAUUCUUUUUCUUUUUAUUAUAGGAUUAUGAAUAUUGACAAAGAUAAUUAUUUUGAUAAUUUGUAUUUUGCAUGUGACUUUUGUAAUGGAUCAACGUUAAUAUAAGAUAUAUUUCGAACUUUACUUUUAUUUGAAUUUUUUAUUUUAAUAUAAUUAACUCAAAAUUGAAAAAAAAAAUAUUAGUUAUUUGGGGAUCGGGGACCUUCGAGGAUCCCCUGUUAUUAUUCGGGGAAGGGACGGGGACAUACGCAAAAUACUGGGGAUGUGUACAAGGAGAUUGGUCCCCUCCCCUCCCCUCCCCUCCCCUCCCCAUUGCCAUCCUAUUUAGAAUACAAAAUCCGAUAAACUGUGAAUAAAAUACUUCUCAAGUACAUAAAUAAACCAAAAAUAAAAAAAUAAAACUAUAGGUUCCCAAAAUCCGACUUCCAACAAAGACACAUAGUAAUACUAAAUACUAACUGCUUUAAUUUGGAAAAAGUUGAUUUGAUCCACCACAUCUAUGAUAAAGAACCUAUAAUACAUUCAUUAUUUUUGUCAAAGUUAUUUUUUAAAGGCUAUAUUUACUAUACAAUAUUAACUUUUAUUUUAUAAAUAUAGUUUUUGUUUCGCAGCAGCUAAGCUAGAGUGCCUCAAUACUGAACUGACACUCAUUCAACAUUGUGUCAAAUUUCUUCAUUUGGACUGAAUUCUUAUCAAAUACAUAUAAUUAUUUCAAGAAUUUGCAACACUUUUAAAAACAACAUUUACUAAACAGUUAAUUGAUUUUCUUUACAAUUAUUUAUUUAUACAACAUUUAACAACAAUUAUUUUAAAAUUAUUUUUAACUAUUUGCUAAUUUAUUUAUUUUUAUGCCAAAAAAUUUAUCCGCAGAAAAUAGGAAAACGAGAUUAUCGAACUAAAAUCGAUCCGAUAGGAAUUUCAAUGUAUAUGUGUAUGGUACAAAUCAAUAAUUCACACUCAAGUAUUCUGAUCCGAUAAUAUCUUUGCAGGAUAUUAUUGGAUAUUAUCAUUGAAGAUUUCCUAAUAGAAUUUUAAUUUAACGUCCAACAAUCCUAAACUAUAUAGAACUCUCUUUGCAGGAUCGGAUAAUUUUACUGUUCGCAGAAUUUAUUUGUCGAUAUAUAUAUAUAUGACUCUUCGGAAUCUCGAUCUUGCAGACUACAACAUCAAUUGCUGGUAAAAGCAUCAUUCUUAAUUACUUAGGUUAUUAGAUAGCGAGGUAAUCAUAUCUGACCUGUUUUUGUUUCUUGCUUUUGCUUUCUAAUAUCUUUUUUUCAAUUAUUUUCUUUGUUUCGUCAUGUAGGACAAGUAGAAUCAUGGUUAGAAUCUAAGUUUUUUUUUUAAGUUUCAUUAGGUUUUGUUUUAUUUUAUUUUGUUAGAGUCAUCCGUAUUCCUUUUUUUAUUAGGAAUCAUAAGUUUAUUAGGAAUCACAAGUUUAUUAGGAAUAGAAUUAAUUACAACUAAUAUAAAUAUACUUGUUAUUCUAAUUUCUUUUCACAAUUUUUUUUCAAUAAUAGACAGCAUUUUCUCAUUUUCCUCUCCUCUCUUGUGAGCUCCAAUACGAUGGAAACUCGUCAGAAACAGACGAAGAAGGAUGCAGAUCGAAUAAGUCCACUGCAUGAUUCAAUUCUUCAUCACAUCCUCUCUUUUCUUCCCGUAAAAGAAGUUGUACAAACCAGCCUUGUGUCAAAACGGUGGCAAGAGUUAUGGAAGUCUCUACCUUAUCUUAGAUUUCAAGAACGUGAUUUUACUACCCGGCAAAGGUUUAUUAAUUUCCUAGAACGUGAUUUUACUACCCGGCAUAGGUUUACUAAAUUCCUGGAUUAUUUUCUGCGAAAGCGUGACAAUAAGUCGAGUAUAAUCAGAUUCGCACUUAAGUGCUCAAAGGAUGUUUCUGAUAUUUGGACUAGCUCUCUAGCAGCAUUCAGUGCUUCAGUUGAGGAGCUUGAUCUCGAGUUUGGUCUCAUUACUAGAUAUCAUCAAUUACGUGAUUAUCCUUCCUGCAUUUUUAGUUGUAAUUCUUUGGUGACACUGAAACUCAAAGCUGGAGGUGCAAUGGCUCGAUUUCCUGAUAAAUUUUUCUUCCCAAAGAUGAAGAACUUGCAACUAUCCGAAUUCAUUCUCCCCAAGACCUUUAGUCAUCAUCUGCUCAAAAGCCCCAAUCUUGAAAAUUUAUUCCUUUUUCGUUGUGGUGCUUACAUGACUUUUUCAAGUGCAGAUAAUGAAUCUGAUUUAGACAUAUGGGCCAAAUUAGAUAAAGCGGAUAUUUGCUUGCAACUUCCUGAUUUUAACUCGGAUGGGAGAGUCAAUACAUUCGUUAGAAUGCUUUCAAGUGUGAAGAUUCUUCACCUACGGGACACAUGUAUUAAGGUACGGAUAGAUAUUCGUAUUUUAUUUUUAUAUAUAAGGUUUUGGAUUAGCUAACUUGGGUAAUAACGAACCUCUUUUUAUCGUGCAUGCAGCAUUUACGAUAUGAAAGAAAUUUAUCGCAGCGUUUACCGAAGUUUCGCAAUCUCAAGCAUUUGGAGCUUGGUCUGAGUGCUGAGAAUGGUGACAUUGGAGUCAUGGCUUGUCUACUCAAUUGCACAUCUACUAUUAAAUCUCUUGAUAUAACAUUUGCUGACUGCAACCCUGGGGAGACUGGACUGAUUCCAAAACAGUUCGAAUUGCUAUUUCUACCUCCAAGUUUAAAAUGGAUUAGAAUGAGCGAAUUUUGUGGGAGAGCGAACCAAGUUGAGCUCCUGAGACUUUUGUUGAACAGUGAAAUCUUGGAGAAGAUCAUUGUUGAACUAGAUUAUAAGGUGAUGGACCCAGAUCUGCUGAGGGAGCUCCGACCAUCAACAAGCAGUUGCCUUUUGGAGAUAAGACACUCACCUAUAACGGCGGAGAAGAUAGUGAGGCGUUCUCGCGAGCUCGAUCCAUCAACAAUUCGUUGCCGACUGCAAAGAAAUACAAGAAUUUCACCAAUGGACCUACUAAGAAGUUAUGAUGAUGACAUGUGAAAAGGGAUAUUAUCUGCAGUUUUACGUGUUAAGUGAUUUACUACCAUGGCAAUACAUAGCCACAGCAGAAAAGUUGCAAUUAUAAGUUCUUUGACCCAAAAAAAAAAAAAAAAUUGAAGUUACUUAUUAUGUUUCUGUUAUCCUCAUUGUUUUAUUCUUUUUUUUUUUUAACCUCUUCAUCAUCAACUAUAACAUUUUUUGUCACUCCAAAAUCAGAAAUUUUUUUAUUCAAAUCAUCGUCUAGAGAAGUUCUCUAGCCAGCCCAUAGCAAUUUCAAACCGCUUUUUCCAUGUCAAUAUUGGAGCUUUCUUUCUAUCUGUGUAUCAUUUCCACCUUCGCUGUAAAUGUCACAUAAAAUUAGACAUAAGCGAUCGAAUAACUAGAUAGAGGCUUGGCAGGGGCAAGAGACACAAACCAAGGAUAAAAUAAUCCAAGCUUGUCUAUCUUCUUUUGCUCAUCGAUCAACAGUCUUGUGUCUCCUUGAAUACAAGUUCCCCAAAGUCCUACAAGAUUCUUGUGUUCAAGUUUCACAAUUUCAAUACUUAGAUGCUUAUACAUCAAGAAACACCUAAGAAGGAAUGAACAUUGUUAUCUAGUCGAAUGAACAGUACUGCUAGCUGUUACCUCCUCUCUAUGUUUUUUGUUUUUCUACUUCCGAAAUAUGGAGGAAACCAGGCCCAAGAUAAGUAUGCCAGAAAUUCUUAAUUUGACUGGAUAAUAUUUCUGGACUUUAUGGUAUUAGCUGCUAACGACAGCUCAAUUAUUGUUGAAAAAAAAAAAGGAAUAAAGGCUCCCCAUUCUCACUUCUAGAAGAACUAAGAAUAAAAAAUUACAACUAUUAAUUGUAGUUUAUACUUGCUAUGGGGGAAGCAGGAAGCUUUGGGGGGGUUCAAUGUGGUCAAUGUGCUAACAUAAGCAACAACGACCAUAUUAAACAACUAUUUAUAUACUUUUUUUCAUUUUGGCUUCAUGACAGCAUGUUCGGUACUUUUUGGAGUGUACUCGAAAGUGAUUUUAGAUAAUUCUCCAUGUAUUCUAACCUCCCAACCUAGAAUUAUAACCCCUCAAACUCAGUGGAGAUUUUCUUGUGCUGACAAAUUCUCUGUUUGUCCAGAAACAUCUAAUAGACCGCCACUGAGAAUGUGAUCUCUAAAGAAAAGGUGAAGUAUACGUCUCGCUUUCAUCAUUAUGAAAAUUAUAAUCGAAGAAAUAGUUUAAUCUCAUUUUAGGCACUAGGGCGAAUCGAUUGUCAGGUGAGAAUCCUAAUCUGAUAAUUCCUGUAGUAAGAAAAAGUUCGUUUGGUUUGCUGCCAAUGGCUAAAACUCAUGCCCCAUGCGCAUUGCGAACUGGGCUGUUUCAAUUACCUACCCGAACAACUGUGUCAGGGCUCUUCAUGGACCAUACUCCCAGGUGCUUGCUCUUUGAAAUACCAGCAAAGAAGAAGCCUAGCUCAAAUGUUUGAGAUGAUCAAACUAACUUUUUACUAUCCCAGAUGCUUCUUGAGGAAGUUAUUGUACCUGCUGCCGAUGACAAGUUAAUGGUCAAGAGAAUAACGAAAGAACUCAAUUGUAGAGGGAUGGAAGCUUCUCCAUUCAUAAAUGAAUCUGUUAAAAAAAGAAGUAAAAAAAUGCUUGGAGAUGGGAUUAAUAGUUUACUACAUGUUAUGAACGUAAAAACCUUGAAAAGUAUUGAAAUUACUUCUAGGUUAAUAGCAGCCUGAACAGUUAGAAUUAACCCAUUUUUUUUUUGUUUAAUAACAAUCUAAACAGUUAGAAUUAACCAGCAGCCUAAACAGUUAGAAUUAACCGAUUUUUUUUUACCGAAAUGAGGGCACGGUGAUAUGGGUGCGAGAUGCUAAAUGUCCAAAUAACUGAGGCUGACGAUAAAUUACCCAAUCACAAAAAAGUAAAACCGAGGGAGAGAUGGUACAACUGUUGCAACGUGGUGAACCAUAAUCAGAUAAUAAAGGGUAUUAUUAUAAUUUCACUGAAACGCUUAAUACAUUCUCAAUCGCUUAAUACGUAUCCAAAAAUUAUCCCAACAACCACAAAAAAUUACCCCAACAACCACAAUACAUUCUCAAAAUCAAACCUCAGGGAAGGUAUCCAAGAAUUAUCCCGACAACCACGAAAAAUUACGCCAACAACUACAAACCAGAAGAAACUUAAAAAAUAUGCUGGUCCGGUGGAAUCCGCUUCUUGUCCUGGAUCUUAGCCUUGACAUUGUCGCUUGUGUCAGAGCUUUCGACCUCCAAAUUUAUGUUCUGCGGGUCAGGGUUUUCACAAAAACCUGCACGCCACCCCUGAGACGGAGGACCAAAUGAAGGGUUGAAUCCUGGAUCUUGUAGUCUGCAAGCGUGCGACCAUCCUCAAGUUGUUUGCCAGCAAAUAUGGACCUCUGCUGGCAUGGUGGAAUCCCUUCCUUGUCCUCGAUCUGUUGGACCACAGAAAGGCAAACAAACAAUAUUAACAUAACCAACAUCUCUAGAUAGAUCAAAAAAUAGAAAAGGAAUUAUAAUCACUAUUACCUGGACAGAGAGAUUAAGAGCCACCUACAGAUAAAGAGAGAGCAAAAAAAAAAGGCGAAGCCAAGAGAAAGUCGGUGGGUAGAGAGAAAGGGAGAGGAAUUUCCUCUCGUCUUUCUCUCAUUUUUUCUGCGCCAAGCACUGCCUUAUGGAAUUGAAGAUGAAGAUAAAAAUGUUGUGGGGUUGAAGCUGGAGGUUGGCCAUUGACAAUUAAAAUGAUGGCGGCCGGGGGAAGAAAAAGUGGAUUUUAGGGUUUUAAUGGCUUUUAUUGAUGAAGUCCUUAUAUUUUUGUAGUUUUAUCUUUUGGGCAGACAAGUUUCAUUUUUAUGUAUUUAAAUUUAAAAAUUAUUUUAGGCUUAAUUAAUCCUAAUUUUAGGUCUAAUUGAAAUUGUGUUUAAUGAAUUAAAAUGUAUAGGUAAAGUUUAAACAUUAAAUUUAUUUUUGGUUCAAAAGUUUUAUUUAAAUAAAAAAAUUAUUUAUUUAUUUUCUUUCAAAAUUAAAAUUAGACCAAUAAUAAAUUUAAAAACUCAAUUUGCCCUAGUCAAUUAACAAAGACAAGUCUAUGGAAGAAAAACAUUGACAAGAAGCUCAAUGAAGAUUAGGCUUAAGGUUAAUGUAUUUUUUUCAUUUUAGGAAAGCCAUGAAUUGAGAUUAUUUAAUUAUUUUUUCUAUGUUAUGUUUUGAAUUAUAACAUGUUAUGAUAACAUGUCAUAUAGAAUAGGUAGUGCCGCUCUAUGCAUAAUAAUACAUAUCAUUCAUACAUUAUAAAUCUCAUUAUAUUGUUUGUAAUUUGUAAAUACUUAAUAAUAUUGGAUAUCAUAUAGAUAAUAUUAUAGGAAGUAUGCAAUUAACAGUAUGUUUUAAAAAGGAAAAACCAAUUUAAAAUAUUGAGUGGGAGUGGGAAAAUUCAAGAUAAUUUAUUUCACGGGCUCCAUUGUUAGUUCAAUAAAAUAUAUAUAUAUAUAUAUACCUCCACUUCAUGAUAUGAUGAUGCUCUUUUUGGAUGGUAUAUGUAUUAGAUAUUUUAUUUGAUGAACUUCUUCAAAGAUAAAAUUGAAAUAUUUUUCAAUCGGUUGAUCAUCCCAACGGUGACUGUUGAUAUGACAAGUACGUAGAUUGAAAUAAUGGUUAUACACUCAACUAAAAUUUGUUAAUAACAUUUCCAACGAAGCUCUGUUAACAAAUUUAAACUCAAAAGAAUAACGAUAAUUAUUUAUCAUGUCUCUACAUGAAAGUAAACAAUCUUGAAAACAGUAUACAAAUGAUAUAAACGUAAAAGAACAUUGCUAUAAUAACUGAUUAUUGAUUUAUUUAUUUAAAGGAAAAAAUAAAAGAAUUUUCUCUGUAAUUUUUCUAUUUACUGCAACAAGUAAAUGGAAGUUGGUGGGUAAAAAAUAGAGAUCGGUGGUAAUAAAAGUGUUCCUGCCAAGUUUUCUUGUUAUUUGUUUUGUUUUGCCUUUGUUUUUACCACGGUAGAAUCUUAAAGUAAACGUGCCCGCAAAUUGAAGAAGAUAAGCCAUUACGUUUUUGUACCAGUAAUUAAAUUUUAUUUUAAAUGUAAAUUGAUUCAUGGUCAUUUUAAUAAUAUAAAUAUUAAUAAAAAGUGGCAUAUAAAAUAGAAUAAAUUAUUGGAAUCAAAACAUCUUCACUCUUUAGCUGAUUGGGCAUAGGGUUGGCAAUUGGACGUUCUGAUUGAAAUUGUCAAAUCUUGAUCCCAUCCAGAAAUUUUUUUCCCGAAUAAUAAAUUAGGAAAAAAAAAGGAUAUUCCCAUCCCAUCCCGAUUAAAAUUUCGAAUCUCAAUCAGGAUCCUGAAUGUUUAGGAUGAUUUGAGUUUGUUGUCAUAUGCCGCAAAUCCUUGUAAACGACAUAUCAUACACCUUUGACCCACAUGUCCAAUUUCUUUGACUUAUCAAAUUGACUCGUCAAAUGCAUAUUGCCGAUAUGUCAAAUCUCUAUCCUUCAUCAAAUCAAUUUGUCAUAUGUUUUUGGAAAUCUAAAUUUGAGCUUCACUUUAUAACAUAGUCAGGAUAUUCCAAAUCUUAAUUGGGAGUUUUAAACGUCUUAAAUAGUGAAUCAAGGUAAAAUCAAUCCGAAUAAUAAAUCAGAACAAAAAAUUACCAAGUCCCAUAUCGAUUAGGACGGGAUCCCAAAUUUUGAUCGGGAUACAAAAAAUUUUACCAUCCUUAAUUAAGUUUAUAAGACUAUUUGAAUCCAACUACUCUUGAACCUCUUUUAUUAUUAUUUUUUUUUAUACAACUCUUGAAACCCUUUUAUUCAUUAAACCAUAGUGGAAAUUCAAAAGUCAUUAUUUUUCUCGUUACAUGUCUAAUAUCCCAAAUAUAGCCAUAAUAAUGACACAUUCGUCUUCACUUAUAAUUUUUCCUAUCCCAACAUUCACAAAUUUAGUAGCGGUAAAUUUUUUUACUUCUGUUCAUCAUUUGUUAAUUCAAGUUUCUAUAUAAAAUAUAGAGAUUAAAAAAUCUUAUCAAAUUAUUCGUUAGUUUUCGAUGUGAUGUUCUUGGUUUGGAAAAAGUUUCAUUAGCAAUACAUGUAUGUAAAUCAAAGAAUAAUAACUGCCAAUACUUAAGAUUUAAUCGAAACUCAAUAAAUUUAUUUGAGUGAAAUUAUUUAAACCCAUAAAACUAUUGUACCCACUUUUUAAUAAAUUUUAUAUUACUAAAAAAUCACUAUAGUAUUUGACCAUUAUGUACAUAUUUAUUAAUUUAUUAAAAAGAUAAAUUAAAAUUUUUUCUUAUCUGUCUACCCAAACACCGUAAAUCUUAAUCCCCUUCUUCUCAACAAUAUCACUAUCAUCUCUUAGGAUUUUUUUCUUUUUUUUGUGACCAUUUACCUUGCUUAUGGAAUCACUGUGCUUACUGAAAAUAAUAUCUGCAAAAUAUAAUGCUUGUUUAAAUAGCCAUGAUAUUUUUACUCAAUGCUAUGUUAGAUUGUUGACCAUUUCAAUGGCCUAUAACAAGUUGAAAAGAGUAAUAUGAUUGGCUCAUGGAAUUAACCAAAUUUCCCAAACAAAUAAAAAUAGUGGUGAAUGGACAGAAGAAGAAUAAGAACGAAAAUAAAGAACGAUAAAUGGCCAGUACGUUUCAAGAUAAAACUAAAAUGGAAUAACAAAGAUAUAAUUAGGGUUAAUUUUGGGAUAUUGGAGUGUUUGCAGGGUAAAAGUUUUAAAUUAAUGAUUCGAUAAUGGGUAAAUUAGGAAAAUGGGUGUUAAGAGGAAUUUGAUAGUUCAAUACAAAAAAAAAAAAAAAAAAUUCUUUUAUUUUAAAAGAAAAACUUCCAACAAAUUUUUUAAAAGAAUGAGAGACCAAAGUAGGCUUGAAGUGUUAAGUUUUCCAGUUAGAAAUUAAAUCGUGGGUUCGUUAAGUUUAGGAAUUUAGCAAGGAUUUCGCGGCCGAGGAGGAAGAAGAGGAAGGAAAAGAAGGAGGGUAAGGAGGGAAAUGGGAGGAAGGGGGAGCUUUAUGUGGUGGAGGUUGUUGAGGAAGAGAGAAAGGAAAUGAGUGGAUUGUUGGGGGAUGAGUUUAGAGGAGGAGAGAAAUGGAGAGGAUCAACAAGGUUGUUGCUUUUGGACGAGGAGUUCGUCGAUAAGAAUGUUUUGCGUUUUCAUAUAUUAGCUCUAGCAAAACAUUAUAUUCACGGUUUGGGAUUUUAUUCAAAACACAUUCAGGUACUUAAUAUUGUCUGUUACUUUGGAAAGCUGCUUUUAGAUGGCAAGCAUGAACAUUCCUUGAUUUUUAGUGAGGCGUGCUAUGUUAUAACGUUCAAUAGCGAACAUGGCAAAUGGAAAACUACAUGCCUGGCUGUUAUGCCCUUUUUGUUUCCUGGUAUAAAAUUUUUAUGUUUCUUUGGUCUCUGUGCUUUAUUUGUUAUGCUAAAUCAUUGUUUUGUGGUGAAGUACUGAGGUUUAAUUCGUUUUUCAUGCCAUUAUCUGAAAUCAGUUAGAUUUAAUGAGUAUCCCUUAUUUGUUCAAUAGUCAAAUUGUAUCUUAUACUAUCAUCUAUUCUUCAGGUUGUACUCAAAGAAGAUACCAGAGAAAAUACAACACCAACUUUGGAGCUUGUCAAAUGUAGGCUGACAUUGUUUUAUGAUUAUUGGCUGAUGAAUGAGGUAUUUUAUUUGACUAUUCCUGUGUGUAUUUAUAUGUUAUUCUUGAUAUGUUUUUCCUUGUUUUUUCUUGUUCCACUUUUCUUUUGGGUUUGCAAAUUAUUCUAUGGCAUUGUUGUCAGUUUAUUCAAAUGAGUUCACUUCUUGAUACCUGCUAAAAAGGAAUAAAAGAAAAGGAAAUGCAAAUAUAGUACAUUACCUCCUUUGAAGGAGAUUAGCAGACACCCUUAAGUUAUGUCCUCAAUUAACUUCCAGGUGUUUUGCAUGGGGAUUUCUUCUUCUUCAUCGUAUUACCUGACUUCAUUGUUUUUCCAAUGUUCUUUUCUUCAUACAGCUCUGACAUUAACAAUCUCUAUUUAAUUACUCUGUUGUUGCUUAGGCGACGUUAUCUGUGAAUCAUUUAUUAAUAAAAAUUUGGUUGUUAACCUGCAAAGCAUCAUCUUAGAAUUUUAAAGCUGGUAAGCAAUGCACUUGGUAAAACAUACACUUUUGUGCCUGAUUUAAAAAAUAAAAUACAAAUAAUUGAUCAGCUUUGAAUUAGCUUAUGUUUAUUUCCAGUUUCACAUUUGUAAUCCUAUUGACUUUAUUUUGGUAUCAGUUUCUUUCAAAAAAUGAACUAAACUGGGCUAUGACAGAAUUUCUCUAUAGAUUGCAGCCUUUGCUUUCACUUAGGAUGGCUCUCUAAUACUCUGUCUCACCCUCCAUCCCCUGCAGUGGUUCUACUGUUGGGAAGGUUUAUCAUUGGUCACACCUCUAUGGUAGGGGCACUGAAUGCUUUGAGCUGAAAGUUUGUAAUGUUGACGAGGCUUUUGACUUCCAUAGUUACGUGCAGAUAUUGGAGGCCUUGCUACCAAAGGGUAUGAUCAUCCCUUCAGCUUUUGAAACAGUUGGGCAUAUAGCACAUCUAAACCUGAGAGAAGAACAUCAACCAUUCAAGUAUCUUGUAGCAAAGGUGCUAAGACAUAGUAAUAUUAUUCUAUCCAUUUUGACUAUGUACUGCACGUUUGACAUGUGAAAUUAAAUUAAAGGUGCCAUUGUUUUUCUUUCUUUCUUUCUUUCUCAGGUAGUACUGGAUAAAAAUAAGCCAAAAAUACAAACAGUUGUGAAUAAAAUUGAUGCCAUUCAUAAUGACUACAGAACCAUGCAGCUUGAGGUUCUCGCUGGAAACAAUUCCCUUGUCACUAUGCUCGUUGAGAAUGGAUUGCGAUUUAAUGCUGAUUUAGCGACAGUGUAUGUUCUUCUUCCUUUCGGGCUAUUGAAAAAUUCAGCUGAACUUUUGUAGUUACUUCUUUCCCUAGCGAGUAAUAAUAUGAUUAAAUGGCUCAAAAUUGCAGUGCUUUCUUUUAAAUCGCUAUAUUGAUCUGAAAGCAGGAAUUUAUGACCUUCCUUAACUUAGGCACUUGAAAAUAUGUGCUAAUUUGAAAUGAUACAAUCAUAGCUAUUUCGUCAUUUAUCUCUUUUGAGGUGUAUUUGUUUGACACAAUGUGUUGACAAAAUGUUUUGUCAUGAUAAUUUUAAGCAGAGAGCACAAGGCUAACAUUUUGGAGUCCCUAAUUUAAUUAUAAUUCUGUAACCAUCUGUAGAAUGAUCUUGUACAUAGCAUAUCGUGCAGUAGAAACAUGAACCUAUGAAACUGUAUAAACGUUUCAGAUUCUUCAUAACUCUUUAAGUGAAGUAACGUGAAUGUGUCUCUUAUAUAAAUUUCUCUUAACAAGAACCUCUCCUAUCAAACUUAACCAGUGCAGCAGAGGUUUAAAGAAAUUUUUUUUUUCCUUUCUUUUCUUUUUUCCCUGUGCAGAUAUUGGAAUUCAAAGCUAGCAACUGAAAGGCUUUUGAGUGGAUUCAAUUUCAAAGAUGUUGUUUGUAUGUUUGUAUAUUGACAUUUUUUUUUUUUGUUCACCUAUAGUCCUUCCUUGCUUUUGUUAUACUUCCAUUUGGGCAUUUUUUUUAAAUUGUUAUAUUAUUAUUAUUAUUAUUAUUAUUAUUUACUAUUAUUAUUUUUUGGCUGCCAUGAUCUCCAUCACCUAUCUCGGAAGAGGCCAUAAUUUGUUGGCAGAUAUUGUUGGAAACCCUUUAGGGAGAUGCUUACAUGUGUGAAUCUUUGUUUUUUGUUCAAAUGACAGGUGAUGUUUUUGCUGGUGUUGGUCCUAUCUCUAUACCUGCAGCAAAGAUUGUCAAACGUGUAUAUGCUAAUGACCUGAACCCUUAUGCAGUCGACUAUUUGGAAAGAAAUAGUGUCCUCAAUAAGCUUGAGAAAAAGAUUGAGGUAUGAUUAAAACACUUUUGUAUGGGUAUCAUGGUGUGGUGGUCCAUUUUUUUGUUAAUUAUAGAAAGAAACCAUGUCCUAUUACUGCUUAGAAUGUGACAUCAUGUAUGUUGAUAUGUAGGUCUUUAACAUGGAUGGAAGGAGGUUCAUUGAUGCUAUGUUUGCAAGCCAAAAAGCUCAUAAAAUUACCCAAGUGGUUAUGAAUUUGCCAAAUGAUGCUACAGAGUUUCUAGGUAUGCCACUAUGUUCUAUCAGUGAUUUUGCUUAUUUCUUCCCUUCAAUGGAUUAAUAGUUAAUCAUAUAAUUUGAUUAUUCCUCUCAGUUACAAUUUAUAUUGACAAAAUAUAUUCUGUUGCACGUCACUUGUUAUUGAACUUCAUAGGUGUUUUAAUUUCGAGUUUGUCAUCAAGAACUGACUAAUAUGUGCAGUGAAUUAUGGGAUUUAGUCUAUGUUCCUGUUGGUUAAGCAUGUAAUUCUGAGUUGAACAAGGUGAAAAGUAUCAAGUGUGUGAAGUUUCUGAUGUUCAAGUUACAGAAAUUUAAUUUUGAAAAUGACAAGGCAGCAUUCUGGACAUUAAUAACUAGGGAAGUCAUUAUUAGCUAUAACUGUUGCAGUGGAAAGUGAUGAGUAUGGUUGUUGACUCUAAAUUUAAUGGAUUGUGAUGUCAAUGAUAUCGGACUAUUUUGUGUGAAACUUUGACCUCACAUUUCAUGGGCAGAUGCAUUCAGAGGAAUCUACAGAGAUAGGCCCGAAGAUGUAAAAUUCACCUUUCCGAAGAUUCAUGUUUAUGGAUUCUGAAAAGCCCGAGAUCCAGAGUUUGAUUUUCACGAGGUUUAGUACUGAAUUUUCCCUCAUAUGUUUGUGAAUUAAUGGAAUGUUGGGUUUAUAUGUAUUCCUUUUUUUAUUGUUUCAUUGCAGCGCAUAAGAAUUGCUCUUGCGGAGGUUGCAGUUAAUGUAGAAAUGCGAAGGGUACGCCUUGUCGCUCCAGGAAAAUGGAUGUUAUGUGCAUCAUUUUUCCUCCCUGAGAGUGUAGCAUUUGCAAGAAGAUCACCCAAUACGUAAGUAGUUCAAGUUAAAGCCAAGCCGUGUCAUUAGCUAAUAUUCAAUUCAUUCGAUUAUAGAAUUAUGAAUUUCUUUUACUUCAUAGUUUUAUUUAUUUACUUGUUCCCUUCUUCGGAAGAAUUGCAAAUGACGCUAUGAGAACCCAUAGGGAAGGUGAAGAAACGUUUUGCCAUAUAGGUGGCCUGUUUCCUUGUUUAUUUCCUAGUAUACUGCUACCUAUUGGAUCAAAUUUUUUUUUUCAUGGUGGUUUUUUGCCCUGUACUUUAAAAAAAAAAAAAGGCAAUGACAAGAGUUAUAAAAGUGAAGUAGUUAAGGCUUUAUCUCCUUUUUUGCUAUCUACAAAUCAUUAUGAGACCUGCUUGAUGUUUUUAUUAAUUGGUUUUCCAAAUAACUAUGAAAGCUCUGUUCCACAAUAUGGGACUAUAACUAUUAGAUCAUUUUGAGUUUGAGUUGCUGGGUACUGCUUUUUCUUGUUUAAUGUCUCAUUCUUGAAGUUGCUAGGGCUUUCUUAAGGGUGCGUUUGGAAUUGAAGUUGGGCAGCUGUAUCUUAAAAUGUACAGCACUAAAGUAUUUGGUAAAUACUAGUUGUUGUAGCUUAGAAGAUAUGUUGAUAUGAUUUUUUACUUAUAUGAUGAAAAAUCUAUUACAUAUUUAAUAAUUUUUUCAAAAUUAUUAUUUAAAUUUUAUAUUUAUUACAUAUUAUUAAUUUUUGUUUCAUAGUUACAGAUUUUAUAUUUACUACAGCAACUCAAUUCAAAACAAGACAUAAGCAUAUUUAGGUCUUUUUUGGGAUUAAGGUUAGGCAGCUUCAGUUUUUAAGCGACAACACUAAAUUAUUCGGUAAACACUAACUACUGUAUCUUAGAAGUUAUGUUGAUAUAAUUUUUCACUUGUAUGAUAAAGAAUCUCUUAUAUCUUUAAUAGUUUUGUCAAAAUUAUCAUUUAAAAAUUGUAUUUAAUACAUAAUAUUAUCUUCUGGUUUAUAAUUACAAUUUUUUUUCCACAACAGUUGUAAUUUAAAAGUUAUAGUAUUUCAAACCCAAAUAGGACUUUAUUAUCGGGGUUAAGAUUUUGUGUAUUCACAUUUUCUGUAGGAGACAUUUUCUGGAGAAUGCUAAAUGGCUUGGGUGAUUAUAUUAGUAAUAAUCAAUCAAUCACAAAGAUAAAGGAGGUUUUGAAGUCAUGAUUGAUGAAAUAACAAGAGGGAAGGGUAAAGAAGAUGAAAUGCCAAAUGAUAUUUUGUUUUCAAUUUACUAUGAUGUGGUCCAACAAAAUGAGUUGUGUUCAAAAUCAGAAGCCCAGACAUCUUACAGACAUAUCUUGCUUUCAUGUCUGAAACUUUGUUUUGUACUGAGUUUUAUCUUUCUGCCGUACAACACCAGAACAGAACACAGCACAACUAAACUAACAGAUGAUGGUGACCUUUUUCAUGCAUCAAUUACACCAAUGUGUGCAUAAAUGCCAAUCAAACACCCCAAUACUUGUUGCACAGGCUUGCCCUUUUUGCCUUCGGACGGCCCAGAUCAGUCCCCACUAUCAUACGCGCGCAUACACACGCUGUUGAUCCUGCCCCUCCAUAAAAUCACUACAGUGAGGCAGUAGCGUGUAGUUGUUAUGUGAUACUUGCCCUGGGGGCAAAAUUGGAAUGGAAAGUGGGGGGGUGAUCAAAGAGAAAGCGAGGAAAUCUCAGUUCAGAUUGUGAUCUAAACUAUAAUGUUGCUAUCUUUCUCUUUCUCAUUCUCUCUGUGGUCCAUGCACAAUAAUUAUGAUGAUGAGUUUUUGGGGCUGGUGUUUAUAAAUGGAGAUGUGAGAGGGAGAGGGGAUCUUUUGCUAUUUUAUCUGAAAAUAGUUACAUCUUUCACAAGUUGCAUAAAGCCAAAGAUAACAGUUGCUCUAACUUCUGGUUUCCUUUUAGCAAUCUCACUAGGAAUCAACAACAACAACAAAAACUACAUUGCUUCUUCGAUCCAUUCCCACUCUCCCAUUUGAUUUACACCCCAUGAGCUCGCAUAUAAUUAAUCAGUAACUCCUGGCCUCAAUGCCUCUUUUAAGAGACUUUAAUGUAAAAAAUUUACAAAAAAAUAAAAUAAAUUGUCUUUUUUUUUCAUGAAAGAAUUGUCUGGGCAUAUUGCUUUCUUUUUGUUAGUCCCUUAUUAUUGUUUUUUUUUUUUGAAUUAGUUAGUCCCUUAUUAUUGUUAUCGUUAUUACAUGGACAAAAAAUGAAAGAAAUAAAGAAGAGUAAACAAAAAGAUAAUGCCCAAAUCCCCAAAAAAUCCAAUAAUACUUACCCAUGCAGGGCACAAUCUGCUUUCAGAAACCAAGAAUCCUUCCGUGUCUCUCCCAACACCGCAAUUACGCAUCCAUCUCACACGUGCCAAACCUGCUCAGCCACAAACAUCAAGUUACAAGCCGCCCCACGGUCAUCACACACAUCCAUUUCAAGUACAACAUGGGGACCUCAUGCUCACUGUCCACGUGGCAGAGGGACCACGGGAGCUUGGGUACCGCCCAUCAAUAUUUUCAUUAUGAGAUUCUUCUUCUACUUCGUCUUCAAUUCGAUUCAAUUCAUAGGUUUUUAAUUCAAGCCGCUGGCUUGUAAAGAUAAUUCUUUGCUAUAAAUUGUGUAGUCUAGAGAGAUGUUCAAUGGCUAAAGAAGAAUGGAAACUUUGAGCCUUUUGUGCUUACGUGGCUGAUUUUUAUUUGUCGAACUUGUUUGAGGACGGCGCUAGUCAGCUACACCCGGUAUCACGCCUUUUGUUGGGGGGGAAGAAUAUGAGAUCUUCUUAAUUCACCCGAAUCACAUUGAUACACAUUGGUUUAAUCACGCCAUUUUGAUUUUGUAGCACAAUAUUUUGGUGCUACACUUGUUUGAUGACACGGUCUCAUUUGAUCGAUCACAUUCACGCUUUCUAGUUCCUCUCUUUGAUACACCAUGUCUUAGUUGUGCGUUAAUUUUUGCCAGCAUUUAUGAAUUUUGGAUAAUUUUAUGCAAUUUUAAACGAUGAUAAUAUAAUGAGCGUAUUUUGCAUUAUAUGUAAGACUUGACAAGAACUUUUGAAUAUGCAUGUGAGUUGUGACUAUGUUAGGGCAACGAUAACAUCGAUAGAGACACUUGAUAUGUAUAUAAAGACCAGAGAGAUUCGAUUUUGGGGUUCAUCGUGGUCUCGCAACAACUCUCCCAUGAAUAAUUUGACUACUUACUGUGUUGCCGAGUGGAAAGACUUAAUUAACUACACAAAACUUUAUAAGAAUGGUGCAUGGAUGUGACAUUAUGUGUUUUUAGUCGUUUCUUGUUGAAAAAAAAAUAUGAUUACAUGAAACGUUGUUAUAAUUUGAUGGACCCACGGGUAUUAACGUACAUGACAUGAAAAGAAAAUAUAUCUUACAUAUGACAUGAAAAGAGAAUAUAUCUUACAUAUGUAUUAAAAUGUAUGUAUUUUUAGUUCAUUGUCUCACGAGGAUAUUAAGUGCAAGAUCAUAUGCAUUUAAUAACAUAUCUAUACAAAAUUUUGAAGUAUUAAUCACAUUAAUUAAACAUUAACAAUCUUUUUAAAGUCCAAACUUUUACUUACACACACAUUCCGGUUUAAAGAAGAAAUUGCCAUUUUAGAAGGCACCACAUGGAGUCGGCAUUUUAUAGAUAUUUCCAUUAGUGGGAAGCCAUCAUUGCAAAGCCUUCACAUCUUCAUCACCAAAUCUUACCCUCUAUGAUUGCACCAAUCCAUAGGACCACAAAACAAGAUUAUCAGCCCCCCUCCACAACAAAUAUCAUAUGAUCAGACGAUCAUGACCGUUAAAAAUUUGCAUCAAUCAAUGUGCACAACUAAAAGAAAUGAAAAAAAAAAAAAACAAUGAUUUUUUGCUAAUUGUAAUCUUAAAACUGACAGUGCCCCUACAAUUUGCCUGCUUUGCUUAUUUGAACGCCCACACCUCUCAAUAGGUUCACGCCCUUUGGUUGUACAGAUCAUUCCUGGUAGAAUUCGUAAUUCAACUAAAAUAUUGACACGUGUCCGUGGGUACCAUUCUAUAGUUCUCCUUCCUCACUCUCUCCCACAGGCGCGUGUGAUAAACAAUCCCUACUUUCCUCAAUUUUAUUGGACCGUGGAAAGCACUCGCUUGCCUUUAAUUUCUUUCACCGGAAAUGCUAGGUGGUAUUUUUCAGUCCCGUUUUACUAUUGCCAUGCAAACUCUAUCGGGAUUAUAUUGAGAUGAAAUCAAAAAGAGACAAAAGGGAAGUGCUUUUUGGAAGCAAUAAAAACAUGUUUGGAGAAAUCAAUUUCUUUUUUUUUUUUUCACUUUAAAAGAGAACAAAACAAAAACAUAGAACACAAACAUACGCUAUACAAAUACAAAGCAAAGAGAGAGAGAGAGAGAGAGAGAGAGAGAAAAAAAGACAUACAGUGAUAGUUCUGUAUCUCUAUCUCUUGAUUAAUUAAUAAAACUCAUCUUUUUGAUUCACUUGAUCUUCAAAAGAAACAUUUUCUCAAAUGGAAAAAUACAAAGCAACAAUGUCUUGUACUGUAUGUGAUCAUCAUCAUGAAGCUGCUGCCGCUGCUGCUGCUUCAGGAGUUAAUAUUGUGAAGAGUGGCAGAGGAAGAAAGCCAAGCAACAAAGCGAAUGCUCAGAAGAAGCAGAAGAAGACACCGCAGAGAGGAAUGGGAGUGGCUCAACUUGAGCGUUUAAGGCAACAAGAAAUGCCCCCACCCACACCCAGUAUUCAAAAUGGUCACUUGCAGUCCCACAUACCCUUUCCAGAGCCGAUUCCGAGUGUUCCGGUGCUGCACGGUGCUGGGCACUACGGUAUGCCUUCCGGUUUUGUUGGAAAUGGAUUGUUGGGUCCUCUGGAAGAGAGCCGGGUAUUGUAUAGUGGUGGCGGUGGCGGGUCGGGUCAAGUUUUGAUGAGUAAAAAUCUUGUUGGGCUUGGGACCUCGAAAGAGCUCUCUUCAAUGCCAAAGAACAUGCAUGUGCAUCAUCACCAGCAGCCAUGGGGAGUCUUGCCUCAACAGCAUUGUGAUAUUUGCCUAAAGGUAGCGUCUUUUCUGUUGUUUUUUUUUUCUUGAGUUUUUGUUUCUUUGAUCUUGUGUUAUGUAUACAUAAGUUGUUUGGUUCUUGAGAAAAAGUUUGACAAAAAGUAAUGAGAUGAAAAGUUUUUUGCUUUUCAUUAAUCUCUCUCUGUCUCUUAAUCUUUUCUUUUGUUAUGUGAUUUGUUUUUAGUAUUAACUUUUUUUUUUCUUUUUGAUGAAAUUUCAUCUUGAAAAAAACUGAUUGUUGUUCUAAAAUUCAUAUAUAUAUUUUCAUGUACCAAGUGCUUGAAAAAGUUAUUAAGAGAGUGAGGAACGUUAUUUUUGUUCUUUUCCUACUUCUUCUUACAAGUGAUCACACGAUAUGGUUGUUUGUAAAUAAGUGCUUAUUAAUUUUAUUCUUUUAUUUUUCCCUAGAAGAAGCGCUUCCAUGGGGAGAAUAUGGGAUUUCCUGGAUUAAUCAAUCCAACAAACACCUUUAACUUCUAUGAAGGGAUGAAUGUUUAUGGUGCUAGAGCUGCAAGAAGUGCUUUUUAUGCUGGCCAAUAUCAUGACAAUAAUUUUCAGAACCAGGUUAAUCUUUAAGCAUAAAGCAAUAUGAGUGCAGUACAAUAUGUAUCUACUGGUCCAACUGAUAAUUCAUUAUUAAUUUUUAUGAUGACACGAUUCUUCAUUGAUUUUUUGACCGUUUUGUGUUAAAUUGGGGGGUUUUUCUGUAAUUAGGGCACACAAGCGGUGUUGAUUCACAGAAACGGUAACUCAAUGGGCAGAAAUGUUCCAAGGGAGUAUGAAUUUUUCCCAGGAAAAGGUGGCAAAAGCACAUCUUCCAAGGACUUGGAAUUUCCAUUGGAAGAAGCUUCAGUUGCAGUGCAUGGUGAAGCUUCUUGGUUCACACCUACUGCUUAUUACAGUGAUAAUAAUGCAUGUGGACCUUCUAAUUCUAUUGAUUUGUCCCUCAAACUUUCAGUAUAGAUGCAAAGCAAAGUUUCUGUUUUCAGCUUUUGUUUUGCUUCGUAUACUUGGGUGUAAUUUAUUAAACCAGAACCCAAAUCACUGCUUUAAUUUUGGCUUUCCCUUUUGUUGUUAAACUAAUGUGAUCAUGAUCUGCACAAAAUAGUCCAAUAUUUUGUUGUAAUUUUUGUUGAAUUAAUAUUCUUUCUUUCUCUCUCCCUCCUUCCCUCCCUCCAAGAUUGUGUCAGUUUUAAACAGGUUUAAUCUUAUGAGUUUUAAUGAUAGUGUCAUAAUUUCUCAUAUGAUCUAAUCUAGUGUUCUAAUGAAUCUUUUCGGGUUGUGUGGCUUAAAAGCUGAAUUCAAUGCUUAUUGAUUUAAUUGUUAUUAGGCAGCAGGCCCUCUGGAUUGUAGCUAUGUAAGAUUGUAACCUAUGUCUGCUAGAAAUUUCUUAACUGAUGAAAACUCUUUGGUCUUUGAACCCCAAUUAUAUGAUAAAGUAUUAACUAAUGUGCUGCAUUAUACCGCUAACACUUUUGUUGUAAAACACUUGUGUCUAAUAAGAAGUCCAAGAAAUGCAAUGCAUGAAAUCUUCGUAUACUACACUUAUAAUCUUUUAUUAUCAAUGAUUAAAUUUUUAUCUCAUUUAGUUUAGCUCAAUUAAAUAUGAUCAUGAACUCUCUCUAGUAGGCUGGGAGAGCAGCAGGAAGGAGCUGUUUGUUUUGCCAUACAUUUGCCAAAACCCUAGCUAGCUUUAGCUUUAGCUCUCUCUCUCCUUCUAUCACACAGCCUGUCUGUCUACAUGUCUGUUCUCUCUUAAUUGUUUAUACUAGAAACUAGGAAGAGGGGGUUUGUCUCUUAAUUGUUUUCACUAGAAACUAGGGAGAGGGGAUUUCCCUAAUAGAGUCACUUGCCAUCUUUUGUGGACUGCAAAACAACUUGAGCAUCUCUGCUUUCUGUUUGUGGGAGUCAAGCAACUUUUUAACAAGUGCUUUAUUAAAAAACGUGAAGAGGGUACAUAAAAAAGCAAGAUUUUAAAGACUUCAGAGAGGCUAGUAAAGAAUUGAAAGUGUAUAAAUUAUACAAUCUUACUGAAAGCAGCAGCACAGUGGUUU
rnacentral:lncRNA from 1 species